UGCUUUUAUUACCACUUGAUGAGAACAAGGGUGACCUGAUCUUCAAAAAGGUUCUGGUAUCUCUCUAUUUGGUGCAGACGAGACACAAUUCGAUCCGGCUUCCGAACAACAUGAUACGAAACCUUGCAAUUUUUUUUAUUUUUUUAAUAUUUUGCUUUUAGUUAGGAGCACCGUAGGAGUAACCACAAAAAAUUUGAGCUUAAACAAGUGAAAGACAUGGCCUAUGGAAUUUUUUGAAGAUUGUGAAAAAUGUGAAAAAAACAUCACGAGGUAAAAACUCAAACUUUGGAGAUGAAUUUUCAGGUUCUAAAAUUUUCAAACCCGCCAAUGGAGGGGACAGACAGAUCCAAAAAGAAUUUUGGAUCAAUUUUCAUAUAUGGAACGUUGAAAUCGGAGUUCAUAUGUGAAAGUUAUGGCUAUUUUACGAACAGACUACGAAUUAGAGGACAAAACAGUCCGAAAGUGGGAAAAAUUUGCGGCGGUGGCUAGAAAUUGAUGGAAACGGUGGCGAAAAACACACGAACUGGACUCUAACAAAGACCUCGACUAGGACACAAACUCAACACUGCGGACUCUGAAACUGAAAUAUGCAAAGGCUAUGGCGCGGAAGGGUGGUAGGACAGGAAAAUGAUAUGGUACUGGACUUAUGGGACGAACACAAGAACACUCCAAACUAAGGGUAGAUGUGAACCUAAUGUUAUACCUAAAGCUCUGAUUACCACUUGAUGAGAACAAGGGUGGCCCGAUCUUCUGAAAGGUUCUAGUACCUCUCGAUUUGGUGGAGACGAGACACAAAUCGAUCCGGCUUCCGAACAACAUGAUCCGAAACCCUACAUUUUUUUUUAUUUUUUUGAUGUUUUUCUUUUAGUUAGGAGCACCAAAGAAGUAACCACAUAAAAUUUGAGCUUAAACAAGUGAAAAACAUGGCCUGUGGAAUUAUCUGAAGAUUGUGAAAAAUGUGAAAAAACUUCACGAGGUGAAAACUCAAACUUUGGAGGUGAAUUUGCAGGUUCUAAAAUUUUCAAACCCACCAAAAGCUAGGACACACACAUCCAAAAUUUUUUUCUGAUCGAUUUUGAUAUAUGCAACGUUAAAAUCGGAGUUCGUAUGUGAAAGUUAUGGCUAUUUUACGAACGGACUCCGAAUUAGAGGACAAAACGGUCUGAAAGUGGGAAAAAUUUGCGGUGGUGGCUAGAAAUUGAUGGAAACGGUGGGGAAAAACACACGAACUGGACUCUAACUAGACCUAACCAGCAACAGGACCUCAACAAGAACACAAACUCAACACUGCGGACUCUGAAACUGAAAUAUGCAAAGGCUUUGGCGUGAAAGGGUUGUAGGACACGAAAAUGAUAUAGCACUGGACUUAUGGUACAAACACAAGAACACUCGAAACUAAGGGUGGAUGUGAACCUAACGGUAUACCUAAAACUUUGAUUACCACUUGAUGAGAACAUGAGUGACCUGAUCUUUCAAAAGGUUCUGGUAACUCUAGAUUUGGUGGAGACGAGAAACAAAUCGAUCCGGCUUCCGAACAACAUCAUAUGAAACCGUGCAAUUUUUUUAUUUUUUUGAUAUUUUUCUUUUAGUUAUGAGCACCAAAGGAGUAACCACAGAAAAUUUGAGCUUAAACAAGUGAAAGACAUGGCCUGUGGAAUUUUUUGAAGAUUGUGAAAAAUGUGAAAAAAACUUCACGAGGUGAAAACUCAAACUUUGGAGGUGAAUUUUGAGGUUCUAAAAUUUUCAAACCCAACAAUGGAGGGGACAGACAGAUCCAAAAAAAAUUUCGGAUCGAUUUUGAUAUAUGGAACGUUGAAAUCGGAGUUCGUAUGCGAAAGUUAUGGCUAUUUUACGUACGGACUACGAAUUAGAGGACAAAACCGUCCGAAAGUGGGAGAAAUUUGCGGUGGUGGCUAGAAAUUGAUGGAAACGGUAGGGGAAAACACACGAACUGGACUGUAAUAAGACCUAACCAGCAACAAGACCUCGACCAGGACAAACUCAACAAUGCGGACUCUGAAACUAAAAUAUGCAGAGGCUAUGGCGUGGAAGGGUUGUAGGACAGGAAAACGAUAUGUUACUGGACUUAUGGGACGAACACAGGAACACUCGAAACUAAGGGUAGAUGUGAAACUAAUGGUAUACCUAAAGCUUUGAUUACCACUUGAUGAGAAAAAGGGUGGCCCGAUCUUUCGAAAGGUUCUGGUAACUCUCGAUUUGGUGGAGACGAGACACAAAUCGAUCCGGCUUCCGAACAACACGAUCUGAAACCCUACAGUUCUUUUUUAUUUUUUUAAUAUUUUUCUUUUAGUUAGGAGCACCGAAAGAGUAACCACAUAAAAUUUGAGUUCAGACAAGUGAAAGACACGGCCUGCGGAAUUUUCUGAAGAUUGUGAAAAAUGUGAAAAAAACAUCACGAGGUGAAAACGCAAACUUGGGAGGUGAAUUUGGAGGUCCUAAAAUUUUCAAACUUGCCAAAGGCAGGGACAUACAGAUCUGAAUUUUUUUUCUGAUCGAUUUUGAUAUAUGGAACGUUGAAAUCGGAGUUCGUAUGGGAAAGUUAUGGCUAUUUUACGAACGGACUCCGAAUUAGAGGACAAAAUGGUCCAAAAGUGGGAAAAAUUUGCGGUGGUGGCUAGAAAUUGAUGGAAACGGUGGGGAAAAACACACGAACUAGACUCUAACAAGACCUAACAAGCAACAAGACCUCAACCAAGACACAAACUCAACACUGCGGACUCUGAAACUGAAAUAUGCAAAGGCUAUGGCGCGUAAGGGUUGUAGGACAUGAAAACGAUAUGGCCCUGGACGUUUGGGACGAACACAAGAACACUCGAAACUAAGGGUAGAUGUGAACCUAACAGUAUACCUAAAGCUUUGAUUACCACUUGAUGAGAACAAGGGUGACCUCAUCUUCCAAAAGGUUUGUAACUCUCGAUUUGGUGCAGACGAGACACAAAUCGAUCCGGAUUCCGAACAACACGAUCCAAAACCCUACAAUUUUUUUUAUUUUUUCGAUAUUCUUCUUUUAGUUAGGAGUAACCACAGAAAAUUUGAGCUUAAACAAGUGAAAGACAUGGCCUGUGGAAUUUUCUGAAGAUUGUGAAAAAUGUGAAAAAAACUUCACGAGGUGAAAACUCAAAGUUCGGAGGAGAAUUUUAAGGUUCUAAAAUUUUCAAACCUCCCUACAAUGGGGACAUGCAGAUCCGAAAUUUUUUUCUGAUCGAUUUUGAUAUAUGGAACAUUGAAAUCGGAGUUCGUAUGCGAAAGUUAUGGCUAUUUUACAAACGAACUCUGAAUUAUAGGACAAAACGGUCCGAAAGUGGAAAAAAUUUGCGGCGGUGGCUAGAAAUUGAUGGAAACAAAGGGGAAAAGACACAAACUGGACUCUAACAAGACCUAUCCAGCAACAAGACCUCGACCAGGACAAACUCAACACUGCAGACUCUAAAACUGAAAUAUGCAGAGGCUAUGGCGCGGAAGGGUUGUAGGACUGGAAAACGAUAUGUUAUUGGACUUAUGGGACGAACACAGGAACACUCGAAACAAAGGGUAGAUGUGAACCUAAUGGUAUACCUAAUGCUUUGAUUACCACUUGAUGAGAACAAGGGUGGCCUGAUCUUCCGAAAGGUUCUGGUAACUCUCGAUUUGGUGGAGACGAGACACAAAUCGAUCCGGCUUCCGAACAACACGAUCCGAAACCUUGCAAUUGUUUUUUAUUUUUUUGAUAUUUUUAUUUUAGUUAGGAGCACCAAAAGAGUAACCACAUAAAAUUUGAGUUUAAACAAGUGAAAAACAUGGCCUGUGGAAUUAUCUGAAGAUUGUGAAAAAUGUGAAAAAACUUCACGAGGUGAAAACUCAAACUUUGGAGGUGAAUUUGCAGGUUCUAAAAUUUUCAAACCCACCAAAAGCUAGGACACACAGAUCCAAAAAUUUUUUCUGAUCGAUUUUGAUAUAUGGAACGUUGAAAUAGGAGUUCGUAUGGGAAAGUUAUGGCUAUUUUACGAACGGACUCCGAAUUAGAGGACAAAACGGUCCAAAAGUGGGAAAAAUUUGCGGUGGUGGCUAGAAAUUGAUGGAAACGGUGGGGAAAAACACACGAACUGGACUCUAACUAGACCUAACCAGCAACAGGACCUCAACAAGAACACAAACUCAACACUGCGGACUCUGAAACUGAAAUAUGCAAAGGCUUUGGCGCGAAAGGGUUGUAGGACACGAAAAUGAUAUAGCACUGGACUUAUGGUACAAACACAAGAACACUCGAAACUAAGGGUGGAUGUGAACCUAACUGUAUACCUAAAACUUUGAUUACCACUUGAUGAGAACAAGAGUGACCUGAUCUUCCAAAAGGUUCUGGUAACUCUAGAUUUGGUGGAGACGAGAAACAAAUCGAUCCGGCUUCCGAACAACAUCAUAUGAAACCGUGCAAUUUUUUUAUUUUUUUGAUAUUUUUCUUUUAGUUACGAGCACCAAAGGAGUAACCACAGAAAAUUUGAGCUUAAACAAGUGAAAGACGUGGCCUGUGGAAUUUUUUGAAGAUUGUGAAAAAUGUGAAAAAAACUUCACGAGGUGAAAACUCAAACUUUGGAGGUGAAUUUUGAGGUUCUAAAAUUUUCAAACCCAACAAUGGAGGGGACAGACAGAUCCAAAAAAAAAUUUCGGAUCGAUUUUGAUAUAUGGAACGUUGAAAUCGGAGUUCGUAUGCGAAAGUUAUGGCUAUUUUACGUACGGACUACGAAUUAGAGGACAAAACCGUCCGAAAGUGGGAAAAAUUUGCGGUGGUGGCUAGAAAUUGAUGGAAACGGUAGGGAAAAACACACGAACAGGACUGUAAUAAGACCUAACCAGCAACAAGACCUCGACCAGGACAAACUCAACAAUGCGGACUCUGAAACUGAAAUAUGCAAAGGCUAUGGCGCGGAAGGGUUGUAGGACAUGAAAACGAUAUGGCCCUGGACGUUUGGGACGAACACAUGGAAUAACACUAGGAGUGUUACAUCAUCGGCAGUAAUCUAGUGCUGAGGAUCCACCGAUGUGCUUUUUUCAGCUGCCUCUGAAGUCAAUACUUUGGUCUUUCCCUUAGCAUCCAACAUAUUUGUAGGGAAAUGAUGUUGGUCGAUCUUCAUCGGCUUUUGAGCUUUGGAGUUAUCGAACCUAAUUCUCCCAAACUCUAUAGCCGACUGCAGCUGCUGCCUGAAAACUUUGCAUUCAUUUGUACUAUGAGAUGUUGCAUUAUGCCACUUGCAAUACUUAAUCUUCUUUAAUUCUUCUGCCGAUGGAAUCACAUGGUUAGGUGACAACUGAAUUUGCCCCUCCUGAAGCAAAAAGUCAAAUAUCCUAUCGGCUUUGGUGAUGUAAAAUGCAAACUUUUCUGGAUCUUUAUGCCCAAAAGGGCAAGACAUCGGCUUUUUAUUUUUUACCCAUUCUGCCAAGCUGAUGACUGGCUCUUCAUCAGAAUCUGAGCUCGUUGCCUCAUCGACAAAUGACACCUUUUUGUUCCAUGCCCUCUUGGGUUCAAAAGCUUUGAUAUCUUGGUCAGAAAUCCACUGCACUAAAUGGCUCAGACUUUCAAACUCUUGAGAAGCAUACUUGUCUUUAAUGUGUGGCAACAACCCUUGGAAAGCCAAAUUGGGGAGCUGCCGAUCAUCCAAAACCAGACUAUAACAUUUAUUCUUAACAUCUCGCAACCUUUGCACAAAGCUCUCAACCGAUUCGUCAUUGCUCUGCCUUAGCCUGACUAAAUCGGUAAUCUUCUUCUCAUGCACUCCAAAAAAGAAGUAUUUAUGGAACUAUUUUUCUAGAUCGGCCCAGGUGAUCACUGAGUUUGGAGGUAAUGAAAUAAACCAAGUAAAGGCCGAUCCAGACAAAGAUGAUGAGAAUAAGCGAACCCUUAACUCAUCUCUGUUAGCAGUUUCCCCAUACUGGAUGAUGAACCUAUUAACAUGCUCCAUGGUUGACGUAUCAUCCUGCCCCGAAAACUUGAUGAAAUCCGGCACCUUGUACCGAUUUGGAAGCGGAAUUAAGUCAUAUGCUGGAGGAUAUGGUGUCCGAUAAGAGUAAGUGUUGACUUUGGGUUUUAUCCCAAAUUGGUCUCUCAUCACCUCAGCUAUCUUAUCGGCCCAGUAAGCAUCAGCAUAUUGCCGAUGAGCUUGUUGUGGAUUCGGCAUCUGCUGAUAAGCUUCCACAUGUCUCUGCAGUGCACGAUCCCUACAGAACAUAGGAUUAGCCACCGCCUGUUGACCACCAACUUGGUGACCAAGAUUCAUCGGCUGGUUGAUCAACCCUUGAUUUUGAAAUCCAGGUUGCAUUGGUCCUUAUUGAAAUCCCAUAGCCUGAUGAUUUUGCUGAGGCAUCUAUGGAAAGACAAACUGCCCUGUCCAUCCAUUGUUAACAUUCAUCGGCGUAGGUCCUGCCGAUGGCUGAUAAUUGGGCAUCAUCAUCAAAUUGACAUACCCUAGCUGUGUCAUAAACCUUUGCUGUGUCAGCAUUGGAUCUGCCGAUGCAUUAGGCAUCUAGAACGUUGGCAUUUGAGAAUUCCUAGCAAAAGGUCUUGUAGUAGUAGUUGUAGAAUACUUGGGAUUCUGAGUCAUCGGUGAGCCUGGGGGUGCCGAUGCCAUAGGAGCAUUGCCUGUCAUGUCAGCCACUUGAGAUGUCCCAGAACUUUUUGCCAUAAAUUCUGGGGGCAUACCAUAUCCCCACCAAUUGGGAGGAACAAAUACUGACAUUGCUGAUGCUAAUAAAUCUGUAGCAAGUUUGACUUGUCCCUCUGAUGUUGAUGGAUUAGUCGUCAUCGGUGUAGAUUGCGCAUUAGUCAUCCCUAAUGUGCUUGGAGGAGAAGUAACUUCCGUACCUGCAACCGCUGUAGUAGCCGAUGGAGCCGUAACCGAUGAUGAUCCUGGCUGNNNNNNNNNNNNNNNNNNNNNNNNNNNNNNNNNNNNNNNNNNNNNNNNNNNNNNNNNNNNNNNNNNNNNNNNNNNNNNNNNNNNNNNNNNNNNNNNNNNNGGCUAGAGUAUAGUGAGUCCAAGGAUGCUGCUUAUUGCUUAUAUUGUUAUCUUUUCUUUAAUUCGGGGAAGACAGAAAAAUUUGGAAGUUCUGUCUUUGCGCGAUCGAGGUUAUCAAAAUUGGAAGAAUGCUAAGGAUACUUUUCAUAAGCAUAGUGCUUCGAAGACUCAUACAGAGGCCAGACUGAAGUGUGAUGAUUUUAUGAACCAAAGGACAAGUGUGGGUCAAAGAAUAGUUGAGGUAAGCACGGAGGAAGAAAAACGAUAUGAGAUUCGUCUGACAUCAUCUUUAGAUGUUGCAAGAUUUCUCAUAUAUCAAGGGCAACCUUUUCGUGGAGAUGAUGAGAGUUCUACUUCCCUCAACAAGGGUAUGUUUAGAGAGAUGGUUGAUUGGUAUAAGGAUAAGGUAGAUAUAGUCAAUGAUGCAUAUGAAAAAGGUUCUAAAAAUUUCCAGAUGAUAUCUCUUGAUAUACAAAAGGAUCUUACAAAAGCUUGUCCUGAGGAAGUCACAGCUGUCAGUAUGGAUGAGAUCCUUGGUAGAAAAUUCUCAGUGCUUAUUGAGGAGUCUCGGGAUGUAUCAAUAAAAGAGCAAAUGGCAGUGAUUCUAAGGUUAGUAUUCCACAGUUGCAAUUUUGUUCAUAGAUUUUAUUAUAAUUAUUUCUGCAAUUAUACUAACACAUAAAUAAAUAUACUGUGUAGGUUUGUGAAUGAUAAAGGGAAAGUGGUGGAGAGAUUUCUUGGGCUUCAGCAUGUUCAGAGUUGUACAGCUAUUGCAUUGAAAGAGGCUUUGGUCAGUAUGCUUUCAAGUCACAAUUUGUCUAUCUCUAUGCUUCGUGGGCAAGGGUAUGAUGGAGCCUCUAAUAUGAGAGGUGAAUUUAAUGGGGUCCAAAAACUGAUCCGUGAUGAAAAUCCUUAUGCUUUCUAUGUGCAUUGUUUUGCCCAUCAAUUGCAACUAGUGGUGGUUGCUGUUUCAACUUCUAGUGCAGAUAUUGCAGAUUUCUUUAACUAUGUUCCUUUAAUAGUCACCAAUGUGGGUGCAUCUUGUAUGAGAAAAGAUGCUUUGCUUGCAAAGCAUCAAGAUGUGUUGCUAGAAAAUAUUGAGAAGGGUGAGAUUAUGACUGGAAGAGGUUUAAAUCAAGAAAGUAGCCUAGCUAGGCCAGGAGAUACUAGAUGGGGUUCACAUCUUAAAACUUUGCUUCGCAUUUUGGUGAUUUGGGAGGCUAUCAUAGAUGUGCCUGAGAUAGUGAAGAAAGAUUCUAUUAAACCAAGAAAUAACAGUGGAGCUUUAGGAUUAAUUAAAAAAAUGGAGAGCUUUGGUUUUGUGUUCAUCCUGCAUUUGAUGAUACAAUUGUUGAGCAUGACAGAUAUUUUGUCACAAGCUUUGCAAAAGAAGGAUCAAGACAUAGUUGAAGCAAUGCAUUUGAUCUCAGAUGUGAAAGAUAGCUUGCAGGAUAUGAGGGAAAAUGGAUGGGAGCCAUUACUCAAAAGAGUGAUAACAUUUUAUGAGAAGAAUGAGAUUGAAGUGCCGGAUAUGGAUAAGGAAAUAAAUGUUAGAGGGACAUCUAGAAGAAGGAAGCAAAAGGUAACAAACAUGCAUUACUAUCAUGUUGAACUUUUUCUGGUCGCCAUUGAUGCCCUCUUGACUGAGAUGAAUCACCGGUUUAGUGAAACUAGUUCAGAGUUAUUACUAUGUAUGGCUGCUUUUAACCUAAGGAACUCCUUCUCUAAUUUUGAUGUGGACAAACUUGUGAGGCUUGCUGAAAUUUAUGCCGAUGAUUUUGAUAUUGGUGAACUUGCUGUUUUGCCAAAUCAUCUUACACAGUUUGUCAACCGUGCUAGAAGAACUCCAGACUUUCUUGGAUGCAUUGAGCUUGGAAAAGUUGCUGAAAUUAUGGUCAAGACUAAAAUGCAUACAUCUUAUAAAUUGGUUUAUCGUCUCAUUGAGCUAAUCUUGAUACUGCCGGUGGCAACAGCUUCAGUUGAGAGAAUAUUUUCAGCCUUGAACAUUAUAAAGAUAGAUUUGCGCAAUAAAAUGGGUGAUGAAUGGCUCAAUGAUUUGAUGAUAUGUUAUACUGAGAAGGAGAUAUUUAGAAAGAUUGAUAAUGGAAAGAUCAAAAAGCGGUUUCAAGAGAUGAAAAAGCGACGUAUGUUAUUGCCUAGAAAAGUAGUGGUACGCUCUAUUCUCUUCUAAAUUUAUAAUUUGGAGGUCCAUAUAUGUAUCACUAUUAUGUCUAUUUGCGUAGGUUGCAGCUUCGGAGGAAUAAUGUGGGGCAAGCGUAGUGAUUAGUUUUGCAAUUGGUCCUUUCGGUAUUUAUGAACUUCAUCUUUUUCUUUCAUGACAUAUUUUGUGAAUUUUUGUUGUUGGUCGACGUUUUCAAUAUAAGCUUGAUUUAUGCUAUUAUAUAUACGUCUAUUGUGAAAGGGUCAUAGUAGAGAUAAAUUGUCGUAGACUUGUUCAGCCCGCCCUAAAUUUUUUUUCUAGCUUCGUCGAUGCUCCCACGCCGCAUCCCCUCUCCACAAGGAACCGCAGCCCCCUGAUGUGCUCGUGUCGAGGUCGGCUUUCGGCGACGAUCUCCACGAUGGCCUGCGAGCUUGGCUCCGGAUUCGCGCCUGAGUGACGGCGCGGCUUCGGCCGAUCACCUGCUCCGGUCCUGCCUCACCUGACCGAGCCGUGCUCGUGCGCGCCGACCAGUCGACGGACGACGACCGAGCCGCACUCGUGCGCAGCAGGUGGAGGAGGACUGGGUCGCCGCGGAACCUGGCUUCUAGGACGCCAAGCUCCAAGCUCGUCUCGCCCGCCACCGGAGGACCUCGCCAAGCCGCACGCGACGCGACGCCUGCGACCCCUACACCGGCCUCUGGAACUGGUCCAACCCGGCUUCUACGACGCCCAGCUCCAAGCUCGUCUCGCCCGCCACCGGACGACCUCGCCAAGCCGCACGCGACGCGACGCCUGCGACCCCUACACCGGCCUCUGGAACUAGAACUGGUCCAUGUCCGUUCCUUGCUCCCCUCCCCUUACUGAUUUGUUUUGUUUCAGCACCUGAUUUUGGUAGUGAUUUGUUUCUGAAUCCUGGAUAGAUAGAAUCGUUUCAGCACUUUGUUAUUGAUUUGUUUUGUUUCAGCACCUGAUUUUGGUAGUGUUUUAUUUCUGAAACCUGGAUAGAUAGAAUCGUUUCAGUACCUGCAUUUUUGUAUUGAUCUGAACCUGCAUUUUCUGAUAGAUCUUUUGACAGUGAGGACACUACUACUACUAUUAGGCAGUAGCAAUCACUACAUUAAACCUGAAAUUUCUUAUUGAUCUCAGCCUGUUUCGCUUGGUCAUCUCGAAGUGAUGUGAGCCUUGGAAAUGUACUGAAUUGAAAUCCACUUGCGGCAAUGUCUUUUAUAAAAUCACUGUACUUUUGGUAGUUCUAUAAUGGCUGAGUAGGAGUGUUUUGGCUUUGCAAGUAAUUUUUUUUAGACAAUGGAUUCAACUCUGGGCUGCAAAACAGUAAAGAUUUACGUUUUAGAAUCACCUAGCUGGAUGCUUGCAACAGAUGUAUGUUUCUCCAAAAAGGGUUGGAGGAAAGUAGAUAUCCUUUUCAAUCGAUCAUCAUACUUUUGUCACUAUGCCCUGUCUAUAUUUUCUUUUAUAAACAUUAUUUGCAGGUUUUAGAAGAUUUACGCACUAUUUGGAACUGUGUACUGACAGAAAAGCUGCAUAUCAACCCAAGAGACAGAGGUCUAUAUUCUGCAAUUCUUGUUCUUGGGAAGACAUUUGACAACCUAGGUAUUUCUCCCUUCAUCAUACAUAGAAUUUUACGGUGCAAGGUGGGCUCACCAGUUUAUGAAGUACAUCUUUUUGUCUUGAUGAAAAGCUGAUUUCCUGUAGUUAGCACUUUUGUCUAUUUUGUAGAGAUAUAUAGAUAAUAACCAAUAGUUUGUAUAUGGAUGUAGUUUGUCUUGGAUGGUACUACUAUGCACACUAUGCAGCUAAGAAGUAAGCCUGUUGCUUUAUUAAUUAGUCAAAAUUUUGAUAACCUGUAAUGUGUGCAAUCCCCCUGCUUGGCUUAUCUGGUUGGAAAAUAGAUAGAUGAUGUCCAGUUAGAAGAUGAGGAUUGGUUGGACAAUAGAUGAUAUAUGGACAAUUGGAGAUAUAAUAUGAGGAUUCACAGUUGAAAUGCUGAUUAAAACUAAAUUAGGUCUAACUUGGUGGAAUGGCAUCUUCGGUUUAUUCUCCUGUUUACUCUUUUCAUUGCCUGUCACUAUAUUGAAAACUGAGAGGCCUAAAUGCAAUGUCAAUCCAUAGUUUCUUAGUUAUGCUAAUACAAGAAAAAUGCUACCAUUUGUUCGCCUGCUGCCUUUCAGAUCCAUGGGAAUAGUUUUGCAUAUUCUCUUCUGCUAUAACUGUUAUAUUUGUGCUGUUACCGCUUACCAAUAAGACAUUGAGUGAGAAAAUAAUUAGCUUGCAGGGUUGGAUCGCUGUCCAAAAUCAGGUUUAACAGCCUGAUCCAUACGACUGUGAACCUACGCCCUUUACAAGGUUGGCAGAUUCCUAUCUGAAACUACAAUUUUCGCACUAAUUACUUUAAAGAAUACGCAACUAAAUGUAAACCAAAGUUUUGUGUUCCUCCUUCAUAUCAUAUCAUAUUAGCUGUUACCUUUAGCUUUUGAACUCCAUUUUUCAUACCUCCCAUCAUUUUAUCCUAGGUGGCUAAAUUUGUGCAGUGGUUGCAAAUUAGAUUUGCCAUAAUGGUUGGAAAUAUAUUUCUCAUCCAGCCUAAGUAUGGCACAUGCAUUGAUUUUUAGUAGUGAGCAAUGAGUAGUACUGUUUUCAAUAUCAGGAUCAUUUGAUGCUUUUUAACUAAAAAAAGCGGCAAUCAUCUGUGGUACAAUGUCUAAAUGCAUUCAUUUGUAAGCCAAGUGGAGUUUCUGCUAAUUUGACAGGAGUACCAUGAACCCCAAGUUUAGAAAAUGAGUUGUGUCUACUUUGUUGAACAAAAGCAAUGAGAUUAUUUUUGCUGGGACAGCCUCAGGAAUCCUCGCCUGCAUCUUGGUGGCCCGCAUCUUGGGGACCUGUUCCUUGGUGCCAGUGAGGUCAGUCAAUAAGUCUAUGGUUUUGAUCUGUACUUGCAUUGUUGAGAUUAUGCUCUUGAUGUAUCAAAAUGUGUUUUUCCUCUUAACAAAAAAUGUGUAAGCAAUAAUCGCCUCGUGUCUAAUCAUCCAUAGUUUGUGUGAGUUCAAAAGGAAAUAUGUUGUAGUUUAGUUUAGAGCAACAAUUUAGUUGGCAAGUGACAAUGCAACUUGCAGUAUUCUCUAACUCACUGAACUCAUUUCAGUGGAGUUUUUACUUCACUGAUGAUCCCUGAUUUUUUUGUAAUAAAAAUGUUAUCACUGCAUAUUUUCUGCCUCUUUUAUAACUGUAAAUUGGUUCUAUCGUCUAACCAACAAGACUUAUGUCAGUAUAGAACUUCGAUAUUCAGAGUUCGCCUAUUUUGAAUUGUUGCUACCAAGUGAUUGAUUUGCUGUAAUUUUAUGGUUCGCACCUGCCAGGUUUAGGUGCCAGUUUUACUUCACAUGUUAGUCUUUGGGUUUCUGUAGUUACUUUGCAUUAAGACUUCAUCGCAUAAGAAAUAUACUUGCAUAGCUAUCUUUCAUAUUCUUCAACUAAUGGUUACCGUAUUAUACAAGUGGUUGAAUUGUGGGUACACUCAAUGGAAAAUAGUGCCUCUCAUACACCAUUGGGUGACAAGACUAACACUACUAAUAGAGGUAACCAAAAUAGAAGAGGAAUUAUUAUAUAUUAUUCAGUGUAUUGUUUAUAUUAUAUAAAUGAUAAUCAAUAAUAUAUGGAUGUAACAAUGCAGGAAGCGAUGUUGCACAACACAGGAAAGAAAGGGAUAAGGCUCGAUGGCACGCAAUGUCGCAAGAGAAAAAAGACGAAAAAAAUAAAAAACGUCGUGAAGCAUAUAAAAGAAGAAAGGAGCAACAACUAUGGAUCGAAACUACCGAUGGUUGUAUAUUAUAAAUGUUGGUGAAUAAUAAUAUAAGAUACUAUUGUUGUUUCUCAUAUUCGUUGUAUCAUAAUUGAUAGAUGCUCAGGAUUCAUCAAACAAGGAAAAUGUGGAUCCUAAUAAAACAGAUGAUUGGUUGCAUAGGAAUGAUUCACUCCAUGCAAACAAUAUUGAUGAAAUACUUAUAUCCAAUCCGAUGUCAGGUAAUAAAAUUAUUGUUAGUAUGGAAUCAACACCUACAUUAUUGUGUUGUGUAGCUUUAUAUACAACGAGAGGAUCAUUGAUGGAUAUUUGGUGUGUAUUGUUUGCCUUCCUACUAUCUUAAUUCAAACACGACUAUGUAGGUGAUGCUGGUGAUGUAGUUACUGCUCGCAGCAUAAUUAAUCAGGCAAUGCGAUCACAAUGCAGUGAUGCUUCACGUAAGAGAGAGUUAACAAAUGAGCAAGUCAUGGCUCAUCGUGCAAAAUGUAGGAUGCAACAUGCAAACAAGACACCUGAGCAACGGGAACAAAGGCGCAAGCGACAGAGGCUUUAUAAUCAAGUUCCAUCUCGUAAAGAGGCAAUGAAAGUGGCUAAAAAACGCUCCAGGGAGGUGCGGACACACACUUUAAACAAUGAGUCCAUCGCAAUGGAAAAUCCACUCUUUAAUCCAAUUAUGGAGUGGCCCACUGCAAACUCAUCUAUGCCAGCUCAUGGACCCACAGUAAGCCCUAGCGAUUGGGCUAUCCCAGAAUCCGCUACAACACCUAUUUGCUUCCCACAAGCUCCUGAUGAGACAAAUGAAGAUGAUGAUGGACGCAGUGAUAUAUCGCCUGGUCAUAUGACACAUAGAUAAAAUAUACCAUGUGGGCAAAGGCAUGCAUUGUUAACCCGCCGUAACAAUGUGUUUGAGCGCCUCAUCGGUCAGAACACGGGAAAAUCUAAUAAUGAGGGUGAAGACAACGUGGAAGAAAAUACGCCAUUACCUCAGUCAACCGUGACCAACAACGGUAAAUAAUGAGGCCUUCGUAUCCAUGUUCAUUCACAUGAAACAAACUUUAUUCCUACCUUAACUAUGUCCGUUAUGUGAUUGACAGGAAGCGCUAGAUCAAACAAUCAAAAUGCAUCAGCUACACCUGGACAACCAUUAUUUGAUGAUACAAGUAAUUUGCACUACUUUGAACAUUGUGUACAAUAUUUGUGUUCCUUUAAUGUUAUCUGAGUUGUAAUAUCUCAUGACAUUGUGAUAAUCUCAGAUGAUGAUGAGGGUGAUAUAUUUGAAGAUGAUGAGUAAGAGGAUGAGGGAUGCUUGUUUGCUGGGCAAGGUAUUUGUACCAAAUACCUAUUACCUUUUUAAUUAUCCGCUCUUUUAUCUAACCUUGAUUUUUUUUGUUCAAAUCAUUUCAACAGAAGAAUCAGAUGAUGAUGUCCAAAGUGAUACUACUGAGGAAGACACGACUUCUAACUUUGAAGGACCUGACCCGUAUGAAGUGGUGUAUAGUAACAUGCCUAGGGAGACACACAUGCUAAAACCUGUACCAGAUUGCAAACAUUGUGGAGCAAAGAGAUUUCCAAAAGAACCUCCUAGGUUUUGUUGUAGCAGCGGAAAGGUUGAGCUGCAUGCGCCUGUCGUACCAAACCAGCUCAUGAGGCUUUGGACAAGCUCUGACGCGGAUGCUAGGCACUUUUGUAACAAUAUCAGGUUUUUCAAUGGUCACUUCUCUUUCACUUCCCUAUAUUGUCGCCUCGACAGUGCUACUGCUAACAUUAGAAAUAGUGGCAUAUAUACUUUUCGUGCACAUGGCAUGAUCUAUCACAACAUAAGGUCAUUUGGCAGAGAAGAUGGUAAGGAGCCUAGGCAUCUUGAGCUUUACUUCUAUGAUGAUGAUCCGAGCCUUGAGUACCGGUACCGAAGGUGUCGUGAAGAGCAGUAUCAAAAAGAUAAAGAGGUUAUAAACAGACUCGUGGCCAUCCUUCGUGACAACCCAUAUUCACAACAUUUGAGGAGUCUGGGGAACACUGAACACCUCGAGGACUAUCGUCUUACACUUAACCUUGAUCAGCGAUUGGACCAAAGGACAUACAAUGUCCCGAUGGCUUCGGAGGUGGCUGCUGUUUGGAUCGAGGGUAGUGAACUCCUUGGUCAAUUUCAGAAUAGUGUUGUCCUGCAUGGGAAAGAUAGGAGCAGGCAUGGCAUCCGAUCGUACCAUGGAUGCUAUGAUGCUCUCUCAUACCCACUCUUUUUCCCUAGAGGUGAGCUUGGAUGGCACAUGGAUAUCCCAAAAAAAGGUGUUACUAUAGAGGAUGUCAACACGGCUCAUGCCCUGCGUAAGGCUCGUACUGGUAUUGAAGAAGAAGAAGAAACAGGUUUGUAUAUCUUCUUGUACUUUUCAUGCAAAUCAAAUCAUUAUCACAUGAACACCUCUAAUACCAUAAUUUUUUCAGACUCCCUAGGAAAUUUAUGUGUUUCGGUGCAUGACUACUACUGCUACAAGUUCUAGAUACGGCCAGGAAUAUUUAAUCCCAUACUUUAUGGCAAGCGUCUUUUCCAACAAUUUGCAGUGGACACGUACAUCAAAAUCGAGAGUUCUCGAUUGGAUUACAUACGCAAUCAUCAAACUGAGAUUAGAGCAGAUCUCUACCAAGGAUUGGUUGAUACCCUACAUGCUGGUGAGGGUAGAUCAGAAGCUGUUGGAAAGCAAACAGUGAUGCCUUCAUCGUUUAUCGGAGGCCCGAGGGACAUGAGGUGUAGAUACAUGGAUGCCAUGGCACUGGUGCGAAGAUUUGGAAAACCAGAUAUAUUCCUGACUAUGACAUGUAAUCCAAAGUGGAAUGAGAUCACACGUGAGUUGUACCCUGGACAAACACCACAGGAUUGUCCGGACAUUAUUGAUCGAGUUUUUAGGGCAAAACUAGAAGAGCUUAAGCACAUGUUGUUAAAAAAGGAUAUCCUUGGAAAGGUUCGUGCACACAUGUAUGUUGUGGAGUUCCAGAAGAGGGGUCUUCCGUAUGCACAUUUUUUGCUAAUCAUGGACAGACGCUACAAGAUCACGUGCCCAGAGAAGUAUGACCUUCUCAUCUCUGCCGAACUCCCAAACAAGAAGAAGUAUCCAGAUUUGUAUAAAAUGGUUACAAAGCAUAUGAUGCAUGCACCUUGUGGAAUACUUAAUCGCAAUUGUCCGUGCACAAAAGGCCGUGAAUCAUGCAAGAACCAUUACCCACGACCUUUCUGUGAUGCCACAUUACAGGGCAAGGAUUCAUACCCAUUUUAUAGAUGACGAGACAAUGGCUGAAAAGAAAAAGUUCGCGGAUACGAGCUUGACAAUAGAUGGGUUGUGCCUUAUAACCCAUACCUCCUACGUUUGUUCAAUUGCCGCAUCAAUGUUGAGGCGUGUGGGAGCAUCAAGGCUGUGAAGUAUUUAUUUAAGUACAUUUACGAGGGUCAUGACCACACGUUUGUGGCUGUAAGAGAGGCUGACAAGGAGGACAAUGAAGGAAAUAUCGAUGAGAUCAAACAGUACAGGGAUGCUAGAUGGAUAACUCCACCAGAAGCCUUGUGGAGGAUAUGUGGUUUUGAUAUAAGUGAUAGGUCCCCUUCGGUGUUGUCCUUGCAGCUCCAUCUUCCUAACAUGCACAUGGUGUCAUUUUAUCAGCGUGAGGGUGUUCGAGAUGUGCUUAAUCGUCCAGGUGUUGAAAGGUCGAUGCUCACAGCCUACUUUGAGAAGAACAACACAUCUGAGCAUGCUCGAGGUAUAUUGUAUUGAGACUUUCCUUAAUACUAUAAGUGGGACUCACAGGGAAAACAAUGGAUUAGGAGGGCACAAAAGAAUCAUUUAAGACAGAUUGGAAGAGUUGUAUGUGCUAAUCCGGCUGAAGGGGAGCGUUAUUAUCUUAGGGUGCUUCUAAACCACGUGGCUGGUGCUACCUCAUUCACUGAUCUAAGGAUAGUGUCUGGUGAACUACUACCGACUUUCCGUGAAGCUGCAGAAAGAAGGGGCCUCAUUGAAGCGGACAACACGCUGCAUGAGGGCCUUGCUGAAGCUACUCUGUGGAUGAUGCCAUGUGCACUACGAAGGCUCUUUGCAACAAUCUUGGUUUUCUAUGAGCCAAGUGAUGUAUUAGAACUCUGGGAAAAGCAUAAGGAGGCAAUGUCAGAGGACUAGAGGCGCAAUAACCAAUCCAGCUUUGCAGUGGAGCAGAUGGUCCUCAUAGAUAUUCGGAAGUUGUUACAAUCAAUGCAGAAGGACAUAAAGAUGUACCCACUUCCUGAUAUCGAUGACACAUAUGAUCCAUCUGGCGAUAUUCCUAGGGAGAUUUUUGAGGAGGCCAGCGUUGAGGCAAGCAUUGAUAACAUGGCACUAUCAAAGACCCUUAACGAGGAGCAGCAGGCAGCCUAUAAUGAGCUUAUGUUUGCUAUUGAUAGCGAUGAUGGGGGUUUGUUCUUUGUGGAUGCACCUGGUGGCACCGGAAAGACUUAUCUAUAUAGGGCUCUGCUUGCUACUAUACGUAGUCAGAACAAGAUUGCCGUGGCAACAGCAACAUCUAGUGUUGCUACAUCAAUAAUGCCCGGUGGCAGAACCGCCCACUCAUGCUUCGAGAUUCCCCUCACCCUUGAUGAUGGGGCAUUUUGCACCUUCACAAAACAGAGUGGUACUGCUAAGCUGCUUCGGACUGCAUCCCUUAUUAUUUGGGAUGAAGUGACGAUGAUGAAGCGGCAAGGUGUCGAGGAGCUAGACAACAGUCUUCGUGAUAUCAUGGACCGUCCUAACCUGCCAUUUAGGGGGAAGACUAUGGUGUUUGGUGGAUAUUUCAGGCAAGUUCUUCCAGUUGUUCGAAGAGGGUCUAGGACUCAAAUAGUUGGUGCAUCACUACGGAUGUCAUACCUUUGGAAUUCCAUGCGACAUCUCAAAUUGGUGCGAAACAUGAGGGCAAAGAACGAUCCAUGGUUUGCAGAAUACUUGCUACGCAUUGGGGGGCUCUGAGGAGGCUAAUGGUGAUGGUGAAAUUCGUCUUCCUGAUGAAAUAUGCAUACCACAGACUGGGAAAGACAGUGAUCUUGAUACGUUAAUUGACUGCAUAUUUCCUGCCCUCAAUGUCAAUAUGUCAAACAAUAGCUAUAUCACCACACGAGCAAUAUUAUCUGCACGGAACGACUCGGUUGAUAUGAUUAACAUGAAAAUGAUAAGUCGUUUCCAAGGGAAUGAGAUGGUGUACCAUAGCUUUGACAGUGCAGUGGAUGAUCCACAUAACUACUACCCAUCUGAAUUCCUUAACACUUUGACCCCCAAUGGUCUCCCUCCACAUGUGUUAAAGCUCAAGAUUGGAUGCCCGGUCAUAUUGCUAAGGAACAUCGACCCUGCGGGUGGACUUUGUAAUGGAACCAUGUUGGUGGUUCGAGGGUUCCAAGGAAAUAUUAUCGAUGCAGAAAUUAUGGUUGGAGAUCAUGUCGGAAAGCGAAUCUUCCUUCCACGAAUCCCAUUAUGGCCCUCGGAUGACGAGAUUUUCCCGUUUCAGUUCAAGAGGAAGCAGUUUCCUAUUAGACUCAGUUUUUCCAUGACGAUUAACAAAGCACAGGGGCAGACUCUUCCCAAUGUUGGUGUGUAUUUGCCUGAACCAGUGUUCUCUCAUGGUCAGCUGUAUGUUGCACUAUCUAGAGCCACUGCCAGAUCAAAUAUUAGGAUCCUUGCAGUCCCGCCUAGAGAUAAGAGUGAUAAUGGUAAUAAAAAAAAUACAAGAAUAAAUGGUACAUACACAAAAAAUAUUGUCUAUAAAGAGGUCCUCACUCUAUAAAAAAGGUAGUCUUCUGUUUUGGUCUACUAUUAUAUUCUUACAUUAUGCCCUUAAUUAGUGACAUUUUUCGUGUCAUAUCAAACUGAAUAAUAUAAGAACUCCGAAUGAAUUUAUGCCCUUCUGCAUUGAUUCGUUCAUAUGUUAUUGACUGGAUGUACAAAAUGUUAUAUUAUUUCUAAUAUGUUUUUUCUUGGAUUAAUAUUUAAAUUUUUACGUUAAAAGGUAUUACUGACUAAGCGAAUGUUGUUGGUUGCUAUAUUGGAAGAGAAAUAGAGAGCAAUUCAAUGUCCACACCCUCCAUCUGAGGUCCCAGGUGACUAGGCCGCUGCCGACUGGUGCCCAGAUCUACAGUCCACUGAGUGCCGCACACUGCCUUUGGUUUGAAUAAUUUUAUUGGGUGAAAAAUAAUUAUUUAAAUCCGAUUUUAGGUUUGAUUUGGUUCUCGUUCUGUUUAUAAUAUUUACACUCAAGAGUUUAGUUCAAAAAAAUUAUAAGUUCUAUAAAUAUUUUAAACAGAAUUUCAAAAUUUUAUUACCUUCAAAAAGCAAUUGAUUUUGAUUUUCAAAUGAAUUUACAAAAGAAAAGGAAAAUAAAAGGGAAACCUCCCUCCCCUCUCUCUGGCCCAGUCCGGCCCAGUAAAAUCUUGGGUCAACUAUCAGUAGGGGGAGCACAACGCCUCCCUAUCCCUGAGUCACAGACAGUCGGAGCCCGCCUGUCAGCCUUUAUCCUCUUGCUGACAAGUUGACCCCACUUGUCAGGGUCAUCCCUUUCCUCUGUCCAUAUCCGUUCGUGGCCGGGUCUCACUGAGCCAACCGAAGGACCGGUUCUAAAGGGGACGAAGCUUGGCCGCCGCCGCUCCGUGAUCCUCUCUUGCCUCCCCGGUCUUGCGCGCACCGAGUCAGCCAUUUCUGCUCCCUCCUCUGUCAUUUAAAGCGAGCUCUCUUCCACCUGCAGCACCAUCGUCCACGUCCUCCUUCUCAGUGCCGAGCUAAAGACGAGAACACCGCCAUAAGUUCCGCGGUGAGCUCCUUCUCUUUCUGCACUAAGCUUUUACGCCCUCCGUGGUCUUUAGAACGAGCCGAACUUGCUCUGGCAAUGCUCAUCCCACAGGUUAUGACGCCAUUGUCGCGGUUUCUCCCUGCGGCGGAGAAGGAGGCGGCGGAGGGCAGUGUAGUCGGAGUCGGGGCGGGACGAGGAGGAGGUCUGUGGAUGAUGGUGCUGCAGCUGAGGAAGACAGGGUCCGUCGGCAUGGAAGGGGCGGUGGGGCACUCCGGGGAGGAGGAGGAGGAGGCCGCGGCCGAGUCGGCGGCAGCCAUCUCCACCGUCUCGCAGUCCGCAUGGCCGGUCGUUCGCGCGCGCCCCGGUGAGAAAUGAGGGACGAGGCCAGGCGGGGACUUGGAUGUCGGGGAAUCGGGCACUUCGGGCGGUCGUACGUGCGUGUGCUGGCAAGAAGUGGCUUGUUUCGUGUCCGUGACCUGUAGUGUCUGAACUUCGAUGUGGGCAAAUUCAGUUUUGAAUUGUUUUAGAUGCAAAUACAAUUUAUAUGUUUCAAAUAUGUUUUGAUACUAACUAAUUUAUUUAUAGUAUUACACAUUAUGGCUAUAUACGCUGCAUCUUUUGUAUCAUUGGAAGAUGCCUUGAGCUCUCCAAACAACACACAAGUUGACUUAAUAGCAGUCGUGGCUCAUGUCGGGUUGUGGGACUGCCAGACAUUAUUUCCUAACUCGUUUAGGGAGGUUGCACUCAAAGAUAAUAGGUAAAUGUUUAUUUGAAGAAAAAUAAUCUUUUUAAUGUCCUUGUGUUUUGUUUAAUCAUACUAAUAACUAUUACUAUUUUUUUAUGCAGCCGAAUUGGAUUUCUUCGUGUGUUCGCAUAUGAUGCUGAAGAAAACUACCACAUGUUUUUUUCAGCCGGUACUGAGAAUUAUUUUCUCAUUCCCACUAAUGUGGUUGUCGACUCAUAUGCACGUAAGUUUAUAUGAACAUAAUUAAAUUUUGGUAUUACCAACAACACAAAUAAUAAGCCUCAAUUCAUAUCAAUACAUCAUAGGUUGUCUGACAAUGACCGCUCAUAGUUCCAUGAUUUUUGUGGGUCCAAGGGAGUAUUGUCCUAUUUUUGCAUCUCUAGAAGGUAACUUUCUCAUCCUAAUUAUAAUAAUAUUAUAUAGAAUUAUAAACAUCCUGUUAGAGACAUCUAAUAUUUAUUUUGCAGCUAUCAGAGACGAAAUGCGAAAUAUCGCUUGUUACAAUGAUCAAAUUAAAAUUGCACUCAAUGCUCGAGCUAAUGAGAUCAAAAGGCUCGAAUACAAUGAAUGUACAGCUAUGGCAAACAAUCAAGGUGUCAUUAGUUACGUUAAUGGUUGCAACAUUUAAGAGGUAGAUGAAGAAGUAUUUGUGAUUAAAUAUUAGUCUUUUGUUGUAUCAAGAUUCUUCAAAGCAUCUUGUUUUACAAUAAAUGAAUGUACCUACACUCUACAAUUCAUCUCUUGUAACGUAACGAUUAAAUCUAUCAAGGCUCAUUACAAUCAAUGCUCAAUAGAUUAUUGAUCAUAAAUCUUGGUCAAAUUGCAAAAAGGUAUUGAUCGUAAAUGAUUAUUGCCCAAUAUUUUUGGUCAAAUUGCGAAGAAAGAGCAAAAUUUGAUAACAAUAGUUUAAUCGUAAAUGAUUAUUGCCCAAUAUUUUCAGAGACACAAUUGAUGUUUCUAUAAAUUAAGAAGAUAACAUAAUUCACAAAAAAAAAACAUGCAUGACCUGGUCAUGCCACAACAUAACUAGCGAGUCAGCCACGGUCUCUACCACCCGAAACUCACGAAAGCAUGACUGCCGUCAACACUGCCAGGCUUCAAUCGGUAGUUUCCAUAUCGAACCUCUAGCUCCCUCCGACUUACAAUUGCCCGAGACGGCGCACCUGGCUGCCGCCUCGACGCCUCUGUGACCCAGCACGCGGUUAUCCUCCAAUUCGGCGCGGAGAGCUCGGUGGCCCUCCCUUCGACGUCGCCUCAACUUGGCACGGGGCUUCAUCUGCACAAAGGCGGACGUCAACUUGCCAGGCCGUCCUGUUCCGUCACAUCGGCCGAAGUCUCCUUCUCCACCGCAGCAACCGUUGUUCGACACGCGCUCGUCGACGACGCUGGAUGCCACGACACCACAUGUAGGCUUGGCUGGACCACCUCCACCUCCAUCACGAUAGAUGCUGAGGUCUCCUUGCCACCGCUGCACACAGAUCUUCGUUGGUCGCUUCAUCAGAGUGUUGUCGGGGACCCAAGAGGUAUGCCCUUGUCAAAAAACGAAAGAGGUAUGCACUUGGCUAACUGAUGCUACAUAUGUGUUGGCGUGUUGGUCUUCUAUGUGGUACAUUUUAAAUUCAGGCUAAUAUAAACUAUGGAUCAUUAGACAUAGAGUUAAUUUGUUGCUUACACUUUUUUAUAUAUCAAGAUCAUGAACUCGACAAUGCAAGUACAAAUCAAACCAUACGCUCAUUGACUGACCUGAAUAUGGAAAAUUUAGAAUACAAGAUGACCAGGAGACACUGAGUCAGUGCAUUUUACCUAAACUUUUUAAGCUCAUUGACUGACUUGAACAUUGUUCAAACCAUAAGCCAAUUGACUGACCUGAACAUGGUUCACUAUAUUUUCUUCCUCACAUAUCUGAAUCAGUGCAUUUUACCUACACUUUUUAAGCUUGAACUUGCAUAUUGUUUAGAACUCUGAACCCCACUGCUUACAACUUUGAAACCCUAUACUCUUAAUUCAACCCUAAAAAAAUGAGAGAGACAUAGAGAGAGUGGAAAGCGAUGCUGGAGAUGGAGUAUCAACCAGUUCUUUUAAAAGACAUGAUACUGAAUCUACAAAGAUCGUGAUGCCAAUCAGUUUUUUGAAACAAUGUGGAGCAGCUAGCAUACUUCUUUUGCACAGCUAUCUUAACUGGUUCGAGUUAAAGUAUAUAUGUAUAUCUAUAGCGCCCAUGAGAAAAUUCCUUACAGGCUACAACGCUGAAAAAUCAAUGUGUAAAAUACAGUAGGGCUAAAGAAUAAGAACAUUUCCUCUUCAGCGUAAAUAGUGUCAUUUUAUCAGCAUUUCCUUCACCUUGAUGUUAUAUGCAUGCACCCAAAAAAGUGCAAAACCAAAGAGAUAGUAGUCUCAUACCUUGAGGUUGACCAUACAGAUAGUGUUAAAUGUAAAGUUACUCACCCUGUAUACGGCGCCAUGCAUAGCUAUGCUGUGCAGGGGGCUUCCAAGAACAACUUUUGCAUGUCCUCCUCCCAUUUCUCCUUCUACAUGGAUAUCAUGUAUGGCUCGGCUUGCAUGCCUAAACAGCAAGUGCCAAAAGUGUGAGCAAAGUGAGAGGUCCCCAACUUACCUGAAAAUGAGACAUGCCUAUUUCUGAGUAAGUAGAACCACCAAGCCUGACAGCAAUAAAUAGAGAAAGUAAUAAAUAUAGAACUUUAGAAAAGAAAAAGGCUACAAUAAUAUAUCAAACAAAUCAGCUCAUUUCUCUUGAAGUUUUGUAAGAUAUUCUAAUUAUUUCCCAAAGCAAAAUACAAAAUUAAACGCCUAAAUAAAUAACUCUCCACAUAUAGUUGGCCACUGCGAUGUUGCUGCUGCAAUGAACCAAUCUGAAGUUACAUAUUCCUAAUCAUCAUUACCUAACGGCUGAACUUUUGUAAUUAAUUUGUAGACCAAAGAUGCCAACAAGUCUUAGUUUGAAGAGAGUACGUGCUGAGUUUGUUCGGAGCUCUGAGAUGCCCAGGUAAAUUUCAAAUCUCAUAUUCUAAAAAUGUUAUAAUAGCUAUGAACAUUUGUUAGUAUAUGCCCAGUUAAAUUCACAUGUGUUCUCUGUCAUUUUUCUUACAGAUUUAAGAGAUUCCAAGACAUUCAACUUGUUGACAUUGGUUACUCUUGGAGUAUUACCGUUAGAAUUGAAGCAAAGUUCCCUUUUAAUCAAGACUUUCAGCGCUUCAUCCUCAUGGAUACUAUGGCGAGAUUCAAAAAUAAUAGAAGUAAAAUAGUUUCAUUCACAAACUAACACAGAUGGUAAUAAUGUUAUAUAUAAUUGUAGGGUUGCAAAUUAGUGGCGGUCGUGAGUGGCCCCGAUACCGAGAGGUUCAACAGGUUACUACAACAAGGACGUGACUACACAAUUCGUGAUGUCAGAUUCCAAGUUAAGCCGCACACUGAGUUUCGCAAUAUUCAAAGCAAUUACGAUUGUAGGUUGGACCGUUUGACUACAGUGGAGCGUUGGAACAUGCCUAUACAGUUUCCCAUGUGCUCGAAUCAGUUAACGUCCAUCCUUGAAGUCAUGCAUUGCCCAAGCAAGACCUAUAUAGGCAUUUUUAAAGUCUCCACUCUCUUACUUUACCUUUGUACUAAUACAUGUACUAUUUAUAUAGACAUUGCGGGAAUUCUUGUGCACUGGGGGAAAGUUGAGAGACCGCGUUCAGGGCUGUGUAGAGAGGUUGUCCUCAUGGAUUCAAGGUAAGAUUUAUAGCUUGUAACUAUUUUUUUCUAAUAUACAAUCAGUUUUUUGAAUGCCUCCUAUAUUCUAACACAUAAAUAUAUGUAAUUAUAGAGGUGAUUUGAUAGUUGUGAUCAUGUCAUGCAAAGUCUUGGCUGCACAUAAAAUAAAGCUGCAAAAUGCCACUAGUACAACACCGCUUUCUAGUGGCGGUUCUAGAGGGGUUUGUACAAGCGGCAGACAGUACCGCCAGUAGCUUUCGCCAGUACAAAACAAAAAUUAUACAAGCGGUUUAUCAAGAACCGACUGUGUUAACAAUUUACACUAUCGGCUUCAUUUGUACCACCGUCGCUUGUGUAAACAAUUUACACUAUCGCAUUUAUUAUAUGAUCCGCUUCUGAAAUGUCUUUACACAGUCGGUUUGAUAACAAAAUGCGCUGGUUGAAGGUCAUUUACACUGACGGUUUGUAUAGCAAGCCGUCUGUACUAUAUAGCCAGAUAUAGUGUUCUUUUUUGUUUAUGAUCUACCUAAUUGUUUGGCGAAAUAAUUCUCUGUGCACAUGCUUUUCCUGGAUCUUGAUAACUAUGCAGAAAUACAUACAUAUUGAAAAUUUAUUCUUUUUGUUUGAAAAGCCCAUGCACAACUGAAUAUAUGUCUAUUUUGGUAAUGAACUAGAAGAUCAAGAUCUUAAAACACUUUUUAUUAGUUUUAGUUAUGUGUUUUGGUAUUGAUUAUUUGUGAGGCUAUGAGAAUUUAUAUAUGUUUUACCCAUAACAACGCAUAGGCACUCAAGUAUACACUAAAACAGAAGACUACCAAAAGAAUAAGAGAAUAACUUGUGUAAGAAUCACUAACCUUAGGUGGCAUUUCAGGCCGUUGCUGCUAUUCUGGGCCGCCGGCUGAUGCAACCUAGCUUUGAUUCUGGCCCAUCGGUCUGCCAGCGAAAAUCAAUUAAUCAAGCCAAUUGUAUUUUUGUUAUAAAAACUAAAAGGGAAAGACUGUAGUGGGAACGAAAUGUGCAUACUUUUAUAUCUGAUGAAAAAUUUGUUACUGUUUUCUGGGAACCUCCUUUCUUGAGUUGAAAGUUCAUCCACAUUUGCCAACAGUGGUAACUGAUAUUAUUGUGACAAAAUGUUAGCACAACCAGUUUCUUUACAUGAAACAAACACAACACUGAAGACAAACAUUAUCAAGGAAACAGUACGAAAAGACAAGAGCUUGCCUUGAUUAUUUGAGAAAUUAAACCCAUGACCAGAUGAGGCUGCAAGCAAAUAGAAAUAAAUUUCAGUAAGAUUACUAAGAGACUUGUAUGAAUUCUUUAAAAUAUAAAAAAGAUCAGCAAGCAAUACAGUGGCUGCUAGAAACAGCACCCAAAUCUGAUCAUGGAGGAUGUAAAAUGAAGUAAAUCAAACAAGACAGAUCAUAACUUCAAUGAAAAUUAUGAUACCUGAAAGGCUUGGAUGUUACUAAAACCUGCGGUAGAAUCUAAAGGUCAUUUAAGUUACCCUAAACAUUCACUAUCAAACCGAUAAUCAAGUGGGAUCAAUUGAGAUUGAUUGAUUCUUUCAUGGUACCAUGGACGCAAAUUUCAAGUAUCUUGAAUUUGCACAACAACCAUCAAGCUAACCAUAUGUUACCACUCCAACUUUACAUGAUUGUCCCGUGGUGGUCAAGUGGCAACCACCAGCGUGCUGAAGUACGGACAUGAAACUAAAAAACCUAUAUAGACAAUUUACGUAUAAUUUCGGGCCGUGGCUGCUAUUCUGGGCCGUCGGCUGAUGCAACCUAGCUUUGAUUGUGGCCCAUCGGUCUACCAGCGAAAAUCAAUCCUGUUUAGAGGUUACGAUCAGUUAGCAUAAAAGGGAACUCUGGUAACAUUUGCCUAAUCAAUCUGCUAAAUCCUCGGAUCAAGUCCUCAUCCACGCGAGGUCAUUGCGCCUUCCAAGCAGAAGUACUGAAGGACUACUACGUCUACGUCUUCGAGGUGCCGCCGCCAUCAAAUCAUCAACACACGUCCGGCCGUCAUAAAAACAGUAUGUUUCCUAUCCCAAUUGGCGUUACGUAGGCGGGGGAAAGGGGGGAAUAGCGUCACGCAGAUGGGUGGACGGGGAAUGGGAGCCGCGUGAACGUACCUUGCCAAUCUUCUCGAAGUAGUCGGUGAGACACAGGUUCCAUUCGUUGAUGGUGUUGUCGGUGAUGGCGGAGAGCCAGGCGGGCCAUCCGGCGUCGAGAUGCUCCCCGCGCGCUGUGUUGGCGAAUCCGGGGCCGGGGACGCUGCAUAACGAGCGGGAGCGACUCUACCGCCAGGCCGGCUGCUCUGCUGGUGCUGUCGGCUGCUCUGCCUUCCCGGUGGCCUCCUCCGCUGCUGCGGGGGCCGGCGGCUCGGGUACUGGACGCGGAGGGCUGGCCAUGGACGCAGCCAUGGGGAGAUCCUCACCGGUGAAGUCUCAUGGGGGAAGGGCGGCUGCGACUGCUGGUCGGUGCUGGGCGCGGAUGGGCGGCCGUGGACGUAGCCUAUUGGAAGAUCUUCACCGGCGCUGUCUCAUGGGUGAACUCGAGAGGGGGAGGAUCGCUCCGAGAACACGAGGAACUGGACAAGGGAUUGGAGUGGAGCGGAUGCGGCGACUGCGGCUGAUGGUCGGGUCGGGUCUGGAAGCAGAGGCACGGGCGGAGCUGCCAAGCUGGGCUUUUUGCCAAUCUGCCACUGUGCUUCUGCGGAGCUGGGAUCUCACACUUGUAUUUUAUUAUAUGUUAUAAUUAAUGUAUGAUCUACUCCCUCUUUAAAUCAUAAAUCAUAGGAAAUUUUAUUGUUUCUUCAAGCUGCCUGACAUACAAUUUAUGAAUUUUUAGAUGUUGUUAGUGACGAAACCAUGUAAUAAACAAGAGAAAAAGGUGUGCCCAUCCAGGUCGGUGUUGCAAUAUAAUAAACCAAAGAAAACGGACACGGUCAAAAGUCAACCUCAAGGUUCUUACUUUCAUUGACCCUUCCUAUUUUUCUUUCGCUAAUGAGACCUUCUAAUUCUUUAUUUUCCUGUGUUUUAUGCAGAUUAUGUUUGCAACGCCGAAGAUUAUAGUACUAUUGAAAAUAUUCUGUUGCAACCAAAAAAAAGUAUUGGUGGACAUCCAGGGAAUGACCAUAGAACGCCAUAGAACGAGAUAUUUUGGAAUGCCUCUUACAUGAUAAUAGAUUUUUGGAAGGAGAUGUAAGUAUAUGCAUGCAUGAUUUCAUGUUUCAAAAUGCUUUGCUUAUUCUGAUUCUGAUUUACUGCUUGCAAUACAUAUAUAUAUAUAUAUAUAUAUAUAUAUAUAUAUAUAUAUAUGCAUAGGUCUUAAGUGCCUACAUUGAGCUUAUGAGGUCCGAAAAACAUCUCCAAAACAGAGCUGGUGGAACGGUAUUCCUAGAGAAUACGUUCAAUACAAGUAUUCUACAGCGUGAUGGCAAGAUAAAUGAGGAAUACCUCGAUCCUAAGGUAGAUCACAUAGCAAAAAGGGUGUGCAACUAUUGGGAAUAUGACAUGGUAAAAUUGUGCAUCUCAAGCCCAUAAAUGUCGUUAUCAUUUAGGUGUAUUCCAUUAUAAUAUUUUAACUUUUGAUUUAGGUAUUUCUUCCGAUCAACAUCAAAGACUUUCACUGGUACCUUGCAGUGGUGGAUGGUAUAAAUGAAGAGAUACAUAUGCUCGAUUCAUUAGGUAAAACACAGGAGAAUCGUUAGGAACUUGUCUAUACGGUUAGUAAAAUAUUAACUUUAUUUAAAAGUUCUGCCUGAUUGUUAUUUUUUUAUUACUGACUAUGUGUUAUAUUAGAUAAUUGGCCUACAGAGACACAUAGAUAUUGUAGCAAAACAUAAAGAUAUACAAACAAAAUGGAAGAACCUUCAAGUUCAAGAUUGGAAAUUCAAUGAGGAAUUCACAAGUGCCAUGCAAACAGAUGGGUAUAAUACUCCAUCAUAUGUAUCAUACAAAUACAAUUAUUUAAAAUUCAACUAAUAUACUAUAGAUAUAACUGUUAGUGUUACGUUUUCAUGUUUCAAAAUUGGUAGGUCAUCAUGUGGCUUAUUCAUGCUUAACUACAUGGAAUAUUGGAGAGGAAAAGGAAAAGGUCUAUCAGACAGUGUAACUCAGGUAUAUAGGAAUAAUAAUGUUUUAUUUGUUGAUUUAUUAUAUUUUUUUUAGUAACAUGUCAUCAAAAAAUAAUAUGCAUACAAGAUGAUACAUAGGGUGAUAUGAUUCAAACUACUUGCCAUUUUGUUGAACUGCCAACAAAAUGCCCGGGAAUGGUGGUUGACUUCCGAAACUGAUGAUAAGGAAGAAGAGAGUAUAGAUGAAAUUGAAAUUUUAGAUAGACCACUAAAAAAAAGCAGGGGUGAGAAGUCAUAUGCCUAUGAAGAAGAUUUAAUAUUGUCCAGGGUUUCAAAUUAUAUCAACUCCAUUAGUGAUGCAACUACUUUAGAGUAAGUCACCUCUAUUAUAUAUAUAUAUAUAUAUAUAUAUAUAUAUAUAUAUAUAUAUAUAUAUAUAUAUAUAUAUAUAUAUAAUAGUUGGUAUUUUCCUUUAAUUAUAUGCAUAAUUUUUUUGUAGGUCCUUUGCAAAGAAGUUAGCUGACAUGUUGCAAAAUGCUAACGCACAUGCCCUUACAUUUCGUGACUUGCCAAUGGGCGAACAAGAAUUAAGAGACCGUGUUUGCAAUUAUAUCAUGACAAUUAACGAAGAUAUGGCUUUAGAGUAAGUUUAUUUUCGUGAUAAAUGACAAAUCAUAUACCACGUAUUGUUACAUGUAUACAAAUAUUCAUAUUUUACAGGCAAAAAUGGGUUGUAAGUGCAAAGCCCUAUCCGAUUGUGUUGAGUCUCAAGAAAACCCAAAGGAUGUUAAACAAGAACGAGGGAAUUCAUGAUGAUUGUUUUAACCUGGUAGCACGGAAGUUUGCUUUUGAAGAACUUGAAAAGUUGAAGGGAACAAACAAGAUUGUGUCAAAGCAUUACAUGGAUUUAAAGUUUUCGGUAGGUUUUACUUUAUAUAAUGGCAUGAUAUAUAAUCACUAUUUCUUUUGUUGUAUAUUUCUAGACUUUCAUUCAUUAUAUUACUAUAUAGCUUGCAUGUCAACUAAGUAAUGGUGACGAGUAUCGAACAAAAGUUGAUUAUAACCAACUGGCAAAAUUUGCUCUUGAAUGUCCUUGGAGAAAAUAUAAUGUUAAAGAGUGCACAUGGGUAACGUUGUUUCUCUUAUUAUGUUCCUUGCAUCUUUUGUGUAAAUAAAUACCAUGUUAUUCUUAAAUAUCAUAUUACUGAGAUGCUCCUUUUCAAUUACAGAUUCUAAUACCACUUCAAAUGGUUACAGCAUGAGGUAUUUAUAAUCUUUUUUGUUCAAGACAUGUCUAGAAGAGCUCUCUACAUAGUAGACCAAACUCCUAAACCUGAUCUUUACAAGAUUCAACCACUAAAAAAUAUACAAACAAAAUUCAAAGGGUUUCCACUGCCCUAAAUGAAGUCAUGAAAGUUUCAUGCCCUUGGUGGCGAGAUGAUUUAAUCCUCUUUGACCAUAGAGUUGCAGAAGUCAACCAAUUUGAGUUAAAUGGGUAAAUACUUUUACAAUAGAAACUAUUUGUUUUUAUAUUCUACUAUAUAUAUAAUAGUAAUAAUUUAAUGCUUCCUCAGGGACUUGUCUGGUUAUAAUGUUCUACUUGCUAUGCAUGCGUGGAAUGGUAAAAGGAUAGAAACAUCCAUUUGCAAUAAUGUGAGUAUUGACCUUUGUAGAUUAUUAUUGUUUUUUCACCUCAUAUAUUUGUUUAACUAAACCUAUAUAUGUGUAUAAAAAUCUUACAGGAUAAUUAUGAAGUGAGGAAGCAUAUAUUGCUACACCUACUCACAUAUACCGGGAACAAAAAUAUUGCCAACAUACCUAAAGGUGUUCGAGAUCACCUUGAACGCUAUAUUUGUCUCACAAGCAAAAAAAGAUGAAUUGUUUCUUAUUUUUCUACUUGUUUCUUUAUUUUAAAUAUAAGUAGAUUGAGAUGUGUGUUUUAAUAUUAAUUAUUAUUAUAUUAAUUGUGAUGAUAUGGAAAUUAACGUAUAAUUUGUUGUGUGAUGUGUUACCCGUAGCGACUUUACGUAUAAUUUGUUGUGUGAUGUGCUACCCGUAGCAACGCACGGGCACUCAACUAGUGAGUAUUAAGCAUCACAAUAAUAACCAUAUCCGGAUUAUCACAUAGCUAUCAUCAUUCUCAUCAUAACCAUUAAGUUUAUUUAGUGAAUUCUACGUUGCCGCUGCUCGAGUCAAGUUCUCACUAUCUGGGAGAGACGACAAUUCGAAUCGAUUCAUAUCCAGCUGGAGGGGUAUUCCUAGCACUCACCCAAGCAUACCUCGCGAGGGCAGCUUGGAUCACCUUUAGCACAACUCCGGACCAAGUCGCGGGUCCGUCCAGCGCCGCACCCCCAAGGACCACCAAUCUGCCAGGGCAGGACUCCAACCUGACACCUUGGGCUUACGUCAUUUACUUCCCGCACAUCCUUGCUACCAACCGGGGUGCGCACUCAUACAGAACCGGGUAUCCGGCCUGAGUUGCACUCGUAGGCUUCGCGGUUGGAACGACUUUUCCGGCCAACUAAGUGUUAGGCAUGCGUUCAACAUGACACGAGGACGUACAGCAAAUCGGUCCUUAACCGACACAGACGGGGAUAGAUUCACACCCAAGACCUCCAUGCCUUGUUGCUGCACUAUCGUCAUCCCGUCCGGUCUCAAUUCAUUAUUAGUCUUUGGUUAUUUCCACGAUAGCAAAUAUAACCAACCGUGAUCAAGUAUCCACCUAUCUCUCGCAGGUGACAGGAAAUCACCCGGCUUGUACCGAGCUAAGCAUGGCUAAGCAUCAUUUCGAUCCUGGACCUACUUAGGUAAGUUAUGAGGUGGACAAGGUAGUCAUUAUGCAGCAAGGGUGUCAUAUCAACGCCUAACACUUAAUGCAACAAUACAUAACCAUAGUUAUUUGACAGCUGGACAUGAUAACAAAAAAAUAGUAGGAGGCUUAUAAUGCUCCAGGGCUUGCCUUCGAUGUAGGUAGAGGGACGAUGGUCGGGACACUCCGGUAGAUCCUCCUCCUCAGCUCCUUAAGGUGGCUCCCCCUGCUGCUCCUUCGGCUCGGGUGGUGUGAACUCCAAGACCGUCACGCCCUUGGGUACACCUAAGUAUGCAUGACAAGGUGAUGAAUAAAGGGAAUGCACACAUGAUGCAUGAUGUUAUGAUGAUAAGCCAAAAGAACAUGAAACAAGAUGCAACAUGAUCAAAAGUUCCUAAGAGUAAUUGAAUCCUGACUAAGUAAGUAAGUGCAUACUUCUUCUCUGGUAGAGAGGCUAACUAGACAAGCUACUCAACCGUAGCUACUCACACUAAGUAACUGGUGUCAUGGACAGAUUAGCUUGUCAUAAGAUUCAGCUAUAACCUAGGCAUCAUUUGGCCAAACUAAGCAAGUGGGCACUUUCUGGAAAGCUUAACAAAUUUUCUACAAUUAGCUUUCAGACAUCCAAGAAGGAUUCCCAGCCGAAAUAGGUUGAAACAGACAAAGUUGGCUGGCUGCUUUGGAAAAUCCAGAGAGCAAGCACUUUGCAGCAACUUCAUGCAAUAGUCAUAACUAGUCAUAACUUUUAAACUACUCAGCCAAAUGUCAUGGAAUUUGGACACAAGGUAGAUAAGUAAGUUAGCUACAAGUUUGUUGUAGAUAAGUUUUCCAGAAAACCUCACCUUCAAGCAGUUCUUAAACAAUUGCUAUCAGCUAUACAGAAUAUGCUCUAGGAAAGACAUAAGUAGCAAAAUAAUAUUUUGACACAUACUAAGAAUGUAACAUUGGUUGAAACCAAAUGCACCAGUAGAUAGAACAUGUAUAAGAAACACCAGAAAACAUCAUGGCAAGGUUUAAACUCAUUUCUAUUAUCCCCUUUUCUAUUUAUUUGAUUAUUAGGAUGAUUUAAUGAGCAUGUAACACAAGUGCUCCAAAAAUUCUAAUACAAUUACAGCAAGCCAACUAGACCACCACCAGUUCACUGUAAAAUUUUCAGGGCUCUUGCACAUGCAGAUUGUGAGAUACAAAAAUGACAAGCUAACAAUGGCAUUAAAGGCAUAAUUGUGAAACCCUAUCAAAAAGUGCCAAACAACAGAUUUCAUAUUUUUCUUAGUUUUUCUUAGACAUGAUUACAUCACUCAGCAAGUUUCAACAUAAAAGGAGUUAUAACUUAUUUACUAAAAAUAAUGAAACUUCUAUUUAAACAAGAAUUAUUUAAAACUCCACCAACAGUUAUCCAAAAAUCAUGAUAAAUUUACAAGAGCCUAUUCACACCUUAAGUAACACUCUCCUAAAUUUUCAUGGCCAUAAGACUCAUAGAUCUCAAGAUAUAAUUACCUCCUAUUAAACAAGAUUAAAUCAUAUCUAUCUAUUUAUGCAAAAACAUGGCAUGUUUUAUAUUUUUAAUAAAAACUAGACUAACACAAGAACCUAACAAAAUUGGAAUCACUCCAUUUGGAUCUGUAUAGCUCGAGUUAUGAAUUUUACAAAAACAACACAGGAUCUGCAAAAUAGUAGACACCACACACCAGGGAGAGAGAGACAGAGGCUGACAGGUGGGGUCUGCUGACAGACGGGACCCACGCGAUAGAGAGACAGAGACAGGGGAGAGCUCGUCACCGGUGAAACUCGACGACGGCGAGGUCUCGGUCGAAUCCAAGGGCACCAUCGUGACCCUCUCACCAAGGCGGACCUGCCGAGGUGCAAAACCCUAACUCUACCAAGCUCUAGAGGCUCGUCGGUGUGAAUGGCGGCUCGGCGGCGCUGCGGGCGGUACGCUGGCGUGCUCUGCCGAUGCCGUCCCAGUUGAGCUUCACGCCGAGCAUCAGUGAGUCAAGGGGAAGCUCUAGGAACAAAAAUGAGAAGGAAUGGUAGAGCAGGGAGGUUUGGCCAUGUCGCCGGUGAUCUCUGCGAACUCCAGUGAGGUGGAGCUCGCGACGGAGUGGACAAUGUGGCCUCACGAGUGCUCGGCUAAGGGAAAGAGAUGUACGUCGAGGUAGAGGACGUCGAGGCGGCGCUCUAGGCGGGCUGGCUUGGCCGGAGACACGGUGGAGCGGUCGGGAAAGCUCGCCGAAGCACGGCGGAGCUUGCCGAGAACGAAGGUGGAGGGAAUGGAGCGCUCUGAGCGAGUGGAGGUCGCGUCUGAGGCGUCCUUGCGGUGUGUGGCGACUUAUGGGCGACGCUGGAGCUGACAGGAGGGCCAUCGACGGCGUACGGCCGACAGGUGGCCGGACAUGUGGCGGCGGGUGAGCUCUGUCCCAACUGAAUCGGGCGAUUCAGUCGCCGUGGACAGUAACUGAAACUCGAUUUUCAUCAACGUUUUACUCUCAAUUCACUCGAUGGUUUUGGCUCGGAUUUGUUCCUUUAGAUAGAUCUACAUGAGUUCUCAAGAUUGCUUAAAGGAUCAAGGUCUAACUCGGCCUGGAUUUCAAGCUAUAGAGCUCCCAAGUACCCUAUAUCGAAACUGCCGAUUCCAGACUUUGCUAAAUUCGGCUAUGUGUGGAAACAGCCCUAAUUUCUGGCUUGUGAGCAAAUUUUGAAUGUGUUCCAUGCAUUUUCAUAAAAAAUCAUCAACACAACUUUUGUAGCUUAUGAAAUUUACUACAACUUUACUUUAGAUGUCAUUUACAUGCAAGGUCUCUAACACUGGUUUCAUAAAAGGUCUUUGAAAAGAGGUUUAGGGGGGUCAACUAGGCCAACCUAGGGCUAACCAUGACCUAGGGGCAUUUUUGGGCAAAACCUCCAACAUAAACUUUGUUCAAAAUGUUAUUCUAAACAUGAUUAACGUAUUUUGGAAGACAAUGUGCACUUAUAUGCAUUGGUCACACAUUACUAUCACCUAUAGCAAGUCACACAAGCAAUUCAAUCACAUAGUGUAUACACCAAAUGACAUGUGAUCAUGGUGUGAUGCUCAUGAGUGAUCAUGAUGAUGAUUAUGUUGAUGCAAUGCUCAUGGUUAACAUGCAAGCUAACACUAGGAGUGUUACAUCAUCGGCAGUAAUCUGGUGCUGAGGAUCCACCGAUGUGCUUUUUUCAGCUGCCUCUGAAGUCAAUACUUUGGUCUUUCCCUUAGCAUCCAACAUAUUUGUAGGGAAACGAUGUUGGUCGAUCUUCAUCGGCUUUUGAGCUUUGGAGUUAUCGAACCUAAUUCUCCCAAACUCUAUAGCCGACUGCAGCUGCUGCCUGAAAACUUUGCAUUCAUUUGUACUAUGAGAUGUUGCAUUAUGCCACUUGCAAUACUUAAUCUUCUUUAAUUCUUCUGCCGAUGGAAUCACAUGGUUAGGUGACAACUGAAUUUGCCCCUCCUGAAGCAAAAAGUCAAAUAUCCUAUCGGCUUUGGUGAUGUAAAAUGCAAACUUUUCUGGAUCUUUAUGCCCAAAAGGGCAAGACAUCGGCUUUUUAUUUUUUACCCAUUCUGCCAAGCUGAUGACUGGCUCUUCAUCAGAAUCUGAGCUCGUUGCCUCAUCGACAAAUGACACCUUUUUGUUCCAUGCCCUCUUGGGUUCAAAAGCUUUGAUAUCUUGGUCAGAAAUCCACUGCACUAAAUGGCUCAGACUUUCAAACUCUUGAGAAGCAUACUUGUCUUUAAUGUGUGGCAACAACCCUUGGAAAGCCAAAUUGGGGAGCUGCCGAUCAUCCAAAACCAGACUAUAACAUUUAUUCUUAACAUCUCGCAACCUUUGCACAAAGCUCUCAACCGAUUCGUCAUUGCUCUGCCUUAGCCUGACUAAAUCGGUAAUCUUCUUCUCAUGCACUCCAAAAAAGAAGUAUUUAUGGAACUAUUUUUCUAGAUUGGCCCAGGUGAUCACUGAGUUUGGAGGUAAUGAAAUAAACCAAGUAAAGGCCGAUCCAGACAAAGAUGAUGAGAAUAAGCGAACCCUUAACUCAUCUCUGUUAGCAGUUUCCCCAUACUGGAUGAUGAACCUAUUAACAUGCUCCAUGGUUGACGUAUCAUCCUGCCCCGAAAACUUGAUGAAAUCCGGCACCUUGUACCGAUUUGGAAGCGGAAUUAAGUCAUAUGCUGGAGGAUAUGGUGUCCGAUAAGAGUAAGUGUUGACUUUGGGUUUUAUCCCAAAUUGGUCUCUCAUCACCUCAGCUAUCUUAUCGGCCCAGUAAGCAUCAGCAUAUUGCCGAUGAGCUUGUUGUGGAUUCGGCAUCUGCUGAUAAGCUUCCACAUGUCUCUGCAGUGCACGAUCCCUACAGAACAUAGGAUUAGCCACCGCCUGUUGACCACCAACUUGGUGACCAAGAUUCAUCGGCUGGUUGAUCAACCCUUGAUUUUGAAAUCCAGGUUGCAUUGGUCCUUAUUGAAAUCCCAUAGCCUGAUGAUUUUGCUGAGGCAUCUAUGGAAAGACAAACUGCCCUGUCCAUCCAUUGUUAACAUUCAUCGGCGUAGGUCCUGCCGAUGGCUGAUAAUUGGGCACCAUCAUCGAAUUGACAUACCCUAGCUGUGUCAUAAACCUUUGCUGUGUCAGCAUUGGAUCUGCCGAUGCAUUAGGCAUCUAGAACGUUGGCAUUUGAGAAUUCCUAGCAAAAGGUCUUGUAGUAGUAGUUGUAGAAUACUUGGGAUUCUGAGUCAUCGGUGAGCCUGGGGGUGCCGAUGCCAUAGGAGCAUUGCCUGUCAUGUCAGCCACUUGAGAUGUCCCAGAACUUUUUGCCAUAAAUUCUGGGGGCAUACCAUAUCCCCACCAAUUGGGAGGAACAGAUACUGACAUUGCUGAUGCUAAUAAAUCUGUAGCAAGUUUGACUUGUCCCUCUGAUGUUGAUGGAUUAGUCGUCAUCGGUGUAGAUUGCGCAUUAGUCAUCCCUAAUGUGCUUGGAGGAGAAGUAACUUCCGUACCUGCAACGGCUGUAGUAGCCGAUGGAGCCGUAACCGAUGAUGAUCCUGGCUGAUGAUAGUCAGGGCCCACAUAAGAUGGUGGUAUCUGUCCUUCUUUGAAAGUUCUAGCCACAACAUUGAAAACUGUAUUGGACAGCACAUUAGAUUGAUUGAUUAGAGCACAAAUGAUAGCACUGUCAACCAUCUCUUGUUGUUUACUAGGAUUGGCUUCAAAAGUGAUUUGCCGAGGCAUCAACAAUGCUUCCUUUUGGAUCACCUCGCCACUCCUGUUGAUAUUGAAGGAUUUCAAGCAUAGCUGCUUGUAGUCCUCCAUAGCUUUUGCCAUAUCUUGCUUCUAUUCAUCUCUGAGAUUGGCUUCCGUCACGGGGAUGACGUUCUCCAAGUCGAAAUUAGUGUUCGACAUAAUGAUCUUGAUGUUGAAUCAUUGUCCCACUGGGCGUGCCAAAAGAUGUGUUCGUGCAAAAGUAGAUCUACAAACACAAAGGGCUAAUACCCGAUUCAACAUUAAGACGUGCCAGCCGAUUUGACCUUACAAUCGACAAAGGUGGUAACUCGAAUACUUUGGUCCCGACAACAGCGAUGCGCCCGGAUGUCACGGCCAAGAGGUAUUCACACGGAACUCGAGAAUUCACCGAGGUUAACUCGUUGUAAAAGGAAAAUAUGCAGGUUGAUGAAGUCGUCAAAAGUAGAUGCUGAAAUAGAUGUAAAAACUUGUGUUUGGUUGAUUGUGUCUAACAUUACAUCGCUACGGGGUCUCAUAUUUAUACCCUGCCCAAAAGGGUUACAAUCAGACACGACUAGGACUCGAAUUCCAAAUUGAACGGAAUCCGUACACAAAACAAACUCUAAUAACUGUGGAAAGCAUUAAGUUAUCUUCCACAACCGUUCGGUACACCACCUUGAAUCGAUCGACAAUUCCAGCGCCUUUCUUUGUGACCAUCGGCGAACCACCUUUCAUAGCCAUCGGCAACCAUCAGCACCAUUCAUCGGCAUGAAUCCCUCACCACUCCUAGACUUGGCCAUAUUCUGUCGUUUUCUCAUCGGCACCAACCCUCAUUGGCAACUCUCCUGUCAACUAGUCACCACUUUUCUGCCUGCCGAUCUACGCCUUAUUAACUCCAGAUACGCAUCCAAAGAUACGUGUCCAAAAACGGUGUCGACACUGCCAAGCUAGACCUGCUCAUGAAGAAGCUCGAUGAUAAAGCUAGAGAUAAGAAGGAAGUUAUGCACGUCUAUGACUCUCACAUGAUUUGUGAGGACUGUGGAGAUACUGGACACUCAGGCAAUCACUGCCCUGAGAUGCUUGAGGACGUGAACUACAUCAACAACAAUAACAACAACAACUACUACCACCGUCGUCAACAAAAUCAAGAUUGGAAUCAACAGAGGCCUAACUACUCAGGUAAUUAUCAAAGUAACAAUUCUUACAAUAAUAAUAAUAAUUUUCCACCUCUGAGAGAGUUAGUGUCUAAUCAAGGAAAGCUAAUGGAUAACCUAUCUAAGAAAUUGGCAUCUAAUGAUAAAAUUCUAGAAAAAAUAAAUAAUAGAAUGAAUAAUUUCUCUACUGCCAUCAAGAAUCAAAUUAGCUUUAAUAAAAUGAUUGAAUCUCAGUUAAAUCAAAUAGCUGCUGCUGUUCCAGCUACUAACCCCGGUAUACCAUCACAACCUUAAGGAUUAGAAUCUGCAAAUCUUGUAGACAUGUUUGAUACAGGUAACUACUGGAGUAACCCCGUCGCGGAAGUUACUACUGACCUUCUACCGGUCAAGAGAGGCGAUCUAGGACGCCCUGCCAUCCCGAUCUCCAUCGACAUGGUGGACUUCCCAGAAGCACUCUGCGACUUUGGCUCUAGUGUCAACAUUAUGCCAGGGUACUCUAUGAAAAAUUCUUUAUAUAUCCUUUAUUAGAAACAACCAUGUGUUUGCAGCUUGCCGAUCGGACAUUAAGUUUCCCAAAGGGAAUAUUGAAGAACCUUUGCGUCCGAGUUGGUACCUUGUACGCCCUAGCAGACUUCGCGGUGACAGAGACCGGUAAUGAUGAGAGGGCACCCGUCAUCUUAGGGAGGCCAUUCCUGAACACCUCGAGAGCUGUCAUCUACGCUAGUGCUGCCAUGAUCAGUUUUUACAUCAAGGGGAGGAAGGAGACGUUUUCCUUCAAGGACAAGACUACACAAAUCCCAGAGCAAUCCCGACAUGAACCAAGGAAGAGGACCAACAGGAGGAACAGGAACAAGCAAGUGUGGACCGAGUCAGCUAAGAUGGUCACUGCAGUUCAAGGAGGUCAAGAUCAUCGACUCAAGUCACCAUUCCUGACCAAGAAGGACGACCUAGGUAUGCCAAGCAUCCAGUGCUCCAUUAAUUGGUACAACUUCUACAAGAUGCUUUGCGACACCGGAUUGGGCGUCAACAUAAUAGCCGCAGUCACCUAUGAGCUCCUGUUUGGAACCAUAACCCUAAAACUGACAUACAUUCAGCUCCAGAUGACAGAUCAGACAUUUCGAAAGGUUGAAGGUAUAGUAACUGAUGUCCCUAUUAAAAUAGAUAAUCAUUUUGUCCAUACAGACUUUCAGGUUAUUGACAUUGGAGAAGGCGAGUAUGAUCCACCCAUCGUCCUUGGGAGACCUUUCCUCAGUACUGUUAAACCAAUCAUCUACAUUGGAACUAGAGCAUCUCAUUCUCCCCAAAAAGUUUCAAAAGAGCAAGAACGGUAUGUAUCCCCUCAAGUAGAAUUAGACUUUCACCAUUGUUGUCGCCAUCAUCACCAUACACCAUUCAUUUUGCCACACAUGCACAUCUUGAUUUGACUUAUUGACUUGUUUCUCUGGAUCCAUGGUUUGACUAUGCAAUAAAUGUCUUGUAAGUAUGUAUACUUUAUCUCCCACCUAUGAGCUCCAGAUAUCAAAAGCCUUAUUAAAGUAGGGUGAGAGAGAGAGAGCAAGGUCACUGUGCUUUAUACUACAAAUACCACAUACUUUGAGAGAGAAGGGAUAUACCAUCACUGCCUUGGUAAGGAUCCAGAAAUACCACAAAAGAGAGAUCUGAGAGAGUCAUACAAGGAAUCUCUGAGUUUUAUUUGAAAAUCUGCAAAAACUCCAGAGCUAUGGCUAAUCAAGAAUAAGAGACAUGGCGCUUGACUAGACCGUUCUAUCUUUUAACUGCUCAAGACAGAAAUGACGGUUACAAGUCCCAUGGUAAAAGGUAAAAUGAGUAAGUUUUAAAUCUUGACGGUUUACUCUAACUCAGAGAUGAGACCUUAUUUGAAAGCAUGUGUACCAUCAAAACUCAAAGGUAUUACGCAACUUCUGAUCCAUCACUGAGAUUAUCCUUGCUCAGGGACGAGCAAGAGGUAAGCUUGGGGGAGUUUGUUGACAUUCCUUAAAUAUCAAAUAUAAUCAACAAAUAAACAAAGAAAAGGAUCCAAAUGCAACCGGCACCUAGACUUAGGGUUUUAUCGGACAGAAUUCCAUGAGUUUUGGUGUUUGUCUAUUUCUGCAGGGGGUUAUCAGGAAUUAUGGAAGAAAGGCCCACACGUCGGGUUUACAUAGAGAUAUUAAUGUGCACCACAAUUAUCUAACAUCUAGAAGAGUCCAGAAGCCACGGGAACGAGCGGGAGGCCGAGCGAGCCCGGGGGCAGGGCGCCCGCCCUCCCCCCUUGGGCGCUCGCCCUGGCCUGAGAGCCAAUCAGGCUCCGCCUCGCGGAUCAUGCUCCACCGACCUAAGGGAUUAAGGAAAACCGUGCGAUUAAGGUCAGUUUGAUCUGACGGUCCAUAUUCAUUUGGAGGGACUAUAUAAGCAGACCCCCUGGCCCUUGGAGGAGAGGACCGGAGAAACCCUAAUUCAUUCGUACAUCUUUGGAGAAGAAGUCCCUGAUCAAGCACUAGAGCCACCACAUCAACUAGAUCUCUAGUUUUGCAUCUCUAGUUUAGCAUAGCUACAUAGGAUUAGAACUAGAAGGAAUCAAUCUUCGAUUGGUUUCCGGAUCUGUCAAGAGGACUCUUGGUAAUUCCUCAACUGUUCUUCAUUUGUUCAUCAUUGUUCUUCAAUAUUAUGAAUAUGACUUUAUUCUACUUCAAUAUAUUGAUUAUGACUUUGCUCUACUUGUUUAUAUUUGCAAUUAUAUUGUUCUUAAUUUAUCAUAGUUAUAUGCUUGUCGUAGUCAGAUUGGAAUUAUAUACAUGUUUAGGAUCAUAUAGCGUUUAUCCAUGUGUACAAUGGGUAAAUGAUAAGUAUUAUGUAGGCGUGGUGCCUAUGCCGUAUUUAUCUGCGAUUGUACCCUAUAUGCCGGAUCGCGGGGUAGUUCGUGGUGGUGACAGCUCCAUUGAUUCUUGUAUAGUCCCCCUCUCGUGUAUAGGGCAGGUAGAGCAACAUUAUUACAGGGGAGUGAUUGCUAUGUUUCUUAUCUUCCUUGAUAAUAUCACUAUGCAUGGGCGUAGUCCUGUCUCGCAAUGAUUGCCAAGUAUAAUUGCACUAACUAUGAUAUGCUAGACUUUAUAGUUAAGAAUAACUUAGGAAAUAUUCUUGUAGUUCAUCCUAAUUCCAUGCUAAUGACUUGCUAGAAUAUCUGUUGAGGUGCUUAUCAUUAUUAUAUGUGGCUAGUUAUGCUGAUCAGAUUAAUUAUGUUUGUCACCAGUCAUACUUUUUCUAUAUUUUAUGUGACAUUUAUCCCUGUAUGAAAGAGAUAGAUAAAUGCUCUCCAUUAUACAUGCAAUGAUGGAUACUCAAUUCCAUAUUUCAUUCCAUAAUCAACAUUGAAGAUUAGCAAUCCCUUCCCAGUGGUAAAAAUAUAAAUAACGAUACCUGGAAUACUUUCCGAUUAAAAUGCUACAUCGGUAUUAAUCUGUGCGCUUGCAGAUCUCAUUUAUUAUUCAUUCAGAAGAGCAAUUGCAUAUUUCAUUACCGCGUCUCUCAUGUCAUGCUGGGGAUGACAACUUGGCUUAAGUGGAAUGAGGGAUAGGUUUGGCAUUUUGGGCACCAUUAUCAGAACUAGAAAACUAAGUCUACUUUUGGUAAUGACGUUAAGAAUGCCCAAAAGAUGUGAACCUAACGGUAUACCUAAAGCUUUGAUUACCACUUGAUGAGAACAAGGGUGGCCCGAUCUUCCGAAAGGUUUUGAUAACUCUCGAUUUGGUGGAGACGAGACACAAUUCGAUCCGGCUUCCGAACAACACGAUCUGAAACCCUGCAAUUUUUUUUCGAUAUUUUUCUUUUAGUUACGAGCACCAAAGGAGUAACCACAGAAAAUUUGAGCUUAAACAAGUGAAACACAUGGCCUGCGGAAUUUUUUGAAGAUUGUGAAAAAUGUGAAAAAAACUUGACGAGGUGAAAACUCAAAAUUUGGAGGUGAAUUUGGAGGUUCUAUAAUUUUCAAACCCACCAAUGGAGGGGACAGACAUAUCUGAAAUUUUUUUUUGAUCAAUUUUGAUAUAUGGAACGUUGAAAUCGGAGUUCGUAUGCGAAAGUUAUGGCUAUUUUACGAACGGACUCCAAAUUAGAGGACAAAAUGGUCCGAAAGUAGGAAAAAUUCGCGGCAGUGGCUAGAAAUUGAUGGAAACGGUGGGAAAAAACACACAAACUGGACUCUAACAAGACCUAACCAGCAACAAGACCUCGACCAGGACACAAACUCAACACUGUGGACUGUCAAACUGAAAUAUACAAAGGCUAUGGCGCGGAAGGGUUGUAGGACAAUAAAACGAUAUGACACUAGACUUAUGGGACAAACACAAGAACACUCAAAAGUAAGGGUAGAUGUGAACCUAAUGGUAUACCUAAAGCUUUGAUUACCACAUGAUGAGAAUAAGGGUGAUCCGAUCUUCUGAAAGGUUCUGGUAACUCUCAAUUUGGUGGAGACGAGACACAAAUCGAUACGGCUUCCGAAUAACAUGAUCCGAAACGCUACAAAAUUUUUUUAUUUUUUUGAUAUUUUACUUUUAGUUAGGAGCACCAAAGGAGUAACCAUAGAAAAUUUGAGAAUAAACAAGUGAAAUACAUGGCCUGCGAAAUUUUCUGAAGAUUGUGAAAAAUGUGAAACAAACUUCAUGAGGUGAAAACUCAAACUUCGGAGGUGAAUUUGGAGGUUCUAAAAUUUUCAAACCCGCCAACGGAAGGGACAGACAGAUCCAAAAUUUUUUUCUGAUCGAUUUUGAUAUAUGGAAUGUUGAAAUCGGAGUUUGUAUGUGAAUGUUAUGGGUAUUUUACGAAUAGACUCCGAAUUAGAGGACAAAACGGUCUGAAAGUGGGAAAAAAUUGCGGCAGUGGCUAGAAUUUGAUGGAAACUGUGGGGAAAAACACAUGAACUGGACUCUAACAAGGCUUAACCAGCAACAAGACCUCGACGAGGACACAAACUCAACACUGCGGACUCUAAAACUAAAAUAUGCAAAGGCUAUGACGCGGAAGGGUUGUAGGACAAGAAAACAAUAUGACACAGGACUUAUGGGACGAACCAAGAACACUCGAAACUAAAGGUAGAUGUGAACCUAACGGUAUACCUAAAGCUUUGAUUUCCACAUAUGAGAACAAGGGUGACCCGAUCUUCUGAAGUUCUGGUAACUCUCGAUUUGGUGGAGACGAGACACAAAUCGAUCCGUCUUCCGAACAACACGAUCCGAAACCCUGCAAUUUUUUUUUGAUAUUUUUCUUUUAGUUAGAGCACCAAAGGAGUGACCACAGAAAAUUUGAGCUUAAACUAGUGAAAGACAUGGCCUACGAAAAUUUCUGAAAAUUAUGUAAAAUGUGAAAAAAAAACAUCACGAGGUGAAAACUCAAACUUCAGAGGUGAAUUUGGAGGUUCUAAAGUUUUCAAACUCGCCAAUGGAGGGGACAGAGAGAUCCGAAAUUUUUUUUCGAUCGAUUUUGAUAUAUUGAACGUUGAAAUCAGAGCUCGUAUGCGAAAGUUAUGGCUAUUUUACAAACGGACUCCAAAUUAGAGGACAAAAUGGUCCGAAAGUGGAAAAAAUUUGCGGCGGUGGCUAGAAAUUGAUGGAAACGGUGGGGGAAAAUACAUGAACUGGACUCUAAUAAGACCUAACCAGCAAUAAGACCUCGACGAGGACACAAACUCAACACUGCGGACUCUGAAACUGAAAUAUGCAAAGGCUAUGACGUGGAAGGGUUGUAGGACAAGAAAACGAUAUGACACUGCACUUAUGGGACGAACACAAGAACACUCAAAACUAAGGGUAGAUGUGAACCUAAUGGUAUACCUAAAGCUUUGAUUCCCACAUGAUGAGAACAACGGUGACCCGAUCUUCUAAAAGGUUCUGGUAACUCUCGAUUUGGUGGAGACGAGACACGAAUCGAUCCGGCUUCCGAACAACACGAUCCGAAACCCUGCAAUUUUUUUUAUUUUUUUGAUAUUUUUCUUUUAGUUAGAGCACCAAAGGAGUAACCACAGAAAAUUUGAGCUUAAACCAGUGAAAGACAUGGCCUACGAAAAUUUCUGAAAAUUGUGAAAAAUGUGAAAAAAACAUCACGAGGUGAAAACUCAAACUUCAGUUGUGAAUUUGGAGGUGCUAAAAUUUUCAAACCAGCCAAGGGAGGGGAGACAGAUCCGAAAUUUUUUUCUGAUCGAUUUUGAAAUAUGGAACAUUGAAAUCGGAGCUCGUAUGCGAAAGUUAUGGCUAUUUUACGAACGGACUCCAAAUUCGAGGACAAAACGGUGCGAAAGUGGGCAAAAUUUACGGUGGUGGCUAGAAAUUGAUGGAAACGGUGGGGGAAAAUAUAUGAACUGGACUCUAACAAGACCUAACCAGCAACAAGACCUCGACGAGGACACAAACUCAACACUGCGGACUCUAAAACUGAAAUAUGCAAAGGCUAUGGCGUGGAAGGGUUGUAGGACAGAAAAACGAUAUGACACUGGACUUAUGGGACGAACACAAGAACACUCGAAACUAAGGGUAGAUUUGAACCUAAUGGUAUAUCUAAAUCUUUGAUUUCCACAUGAUGAGAACAAGGGUGACCCAAUCUUCUGAAAGGUUCUGGUAACUCUCGAUUUGGUGGAGACGAGACACAAAUCGAUCCGGGUUCCGAACAACACGAUCCGAAACCCUACAAUUUUUUUUAUUUUUUUGAUAUUUUUCUUUUAGUUAGAGCACCAAUGGAGUAACCACAGAAAAUUUGAGCUUAAACCAGUGAAAAACAUGGCCUACGAAAAUUUCUGAAAAUUGUGAAAAAUGUGAAAAAAACAUCACGAGGUGAAAACUCAAACUUCGGAGGUGAAUUUGGAGGUUCUAACUUUUCAAACCUACCAAUGGAGUGACAAACAGAUCCAAAAUUUUUUUCUGAUCGAUUUUGAUAUAUGGAACGUUGUAAAUGGAGCUCGUAUGUGAAAGUUAUGGCUAUUUUACGAACGGACUCCAAGUUAGAGGACAAAACGGUCCGAAAGUGGGAAAAAUUUGCGGUGGUGGCUAGAAAUUGAUGGAAACGGUGGGGGAAAAUACAUGAACUGGACUCUAACAAGACCUAACCAGCAACAAGACCUCGACAAGGACACAAACUCAACACUGCGGACUCUGAAACUGAAAUAUGCAAAGGCUAUGGCGCGGAAGGGUUGUAGGACAGGAAAACCAUAUGACACUGGACUUAUGGGACGAACACAAGAACACUCGAAACUAAGGGUAGAUUUGAACCUAACGGUAUACCUAAAGCUUUGAUUACCACAUGAUGAGAACAAGGGUGACCCGAUCUUCUGAAAGGUUCUCGUAACUCUCGAUUUGGUGGAGACGAGACACAAUUUAAUCCGGCUUUCGAACAACACGAUCCAAAACCCUGCAAAUUUUUUUAUUUUUUUGAUAUUUUUCUUAUAGUUAGGAGCACCAAAGGAGUAACCACACAAUAUUUGAGCUUAAACCAGUGAAAUUUUCUCAAAGUUGUGAAAAUGUGAAAAAAAACUUCAUGAGGUGAAAACUCAAAUUUCGGAGGUGAAUUUGGAGGUUCCAAAAUUUUCAAACCUGCCAAUGGAGUGGACAGACAGAUCCGAAAUUUUUUUCUGAUCAAUUUUGAUAUAUGGAACGUUGAAAUCGGAGCUCGUAUGCGAAAGUUAUGGCUAUUUUACAAACGGACUCCAAAUUAGAGGACAAAAUGGUCGAAAAGUGGGAAAAAUUUGCGACGGUGGCUAGAUAUUGAUGGAAACGGUGCUGGAAAACACACGAACUGGACUCUAACAAGACCUAACAAGCAACAAGACCUCGACGAGGACACAAACUCAACACUGCGGACUCUGAAACUGAAAUAUGCAAAGGCUAUGACACGGAAGGGUUGUAGGACAAGAAAACGAUAUGACACUGCACUUAUUGGACGAACACAAGAACACUUGAAACUAAGGGCAGAUGUGAACCUAAUGGUAUACCUAAAGCUUUUAUUUCCACAUGAUGAGAACAAGGGUGACCCGAUCUUCUGAAAGGUUCUGGUAACUCUCGAUUUGGUGGAGACAAGACAUAAAUCGAUCCGGCUUCCGAACAACACGAUCCGAAAACCGGUAAUUUUUUUAUUUUUUGAUAUUUUCUUUUAGUUAGAGCACCAGAGGAGUAACCACAGAAAAUUUGAGCUUAAACUAGUGAAAGACAUGGCCUACGAAAAUUUCUGAAAAUUGUGAAAAAUGUGAAAAAAACAUCACGAGGUGAAAACUCAAACUUCAGAGGUGAAUUUGGAGGUUCUAAAAUUUUCAAACUCGCCAAUGGAGGGGACAGACAGAUCUCAAAAUUUUUUCUGAUCAAUUUUGAUAUAUGGAACGUUGAAAUCGGAGUUCGUAUGCGAAAGUUAUGGCUAUUUUACGAACGGACUCCAAAUUAGAGGGCAAAAUGGUCCGAAAGUAGGAAAAAUUCGCGGCGGUGGCUAGAAAUUGAUGGAAACGGUGGGGAAAAACACACAAACUGGACUCUAACAAGACCUAACCAGCAACAAGACCUCGACCAGGACACAAACUCAACACUGUGUACUGUGAAACUGAAAUAUGCAAAGGCUAUGGCGCGGAAGGGUUGUAGGACAAGAAAACGAUAUGACACUGGACUUAUGGGACAGACACAAGAACACUGAAAAGUAAGGGUAGAUGUGAACCUAAUGGUAUACCUAAAGCUUUGAUUACUAUAUGAUGAGAAUAAGGGUGACCCGAUCUUCUAAAAGGUUCUGGUAACUCUCGAUUUGGUUAAGAUGAGACACAAAUCGAUACGGCUUCCGAAUAACAUGAUCCGAAACGCUGCAAAAUUUUUUUUAUUUUUUUGAUAUUUUACUUUUAGUUAGGAGCACCAAAGGAGUAACCAUAGAAAAUUUGAGCAUAAACAAAUCAAACACAUGGCCUGCGGAAUUUUCUGAAGACUGUGAAAAAUGUGAAAAAAACUUCAUGAGGUAAAAACUCAAACUUCGGAGGUGAAUUUGGAGGUUCUAAAAUUUUUAAACUCGCCAAUGGACGGGACAGACAGAUCCAAGAAUUUUUUCUAAUCGAUUUUGAUAUAUGGAACGUUGAAAUCAGAGUUUGUAUGCGAAAGUUAUGUCUAUUUUACGAACAGACUCCAAAUUAGAGGACAAAACGGUCCGAAAGUGGGAAAAAUUUGCGGUGGUGGCUAGAAAUUGAUGGAAACGGUGGGGAAAAAUACAUGAACUGAACUCUAACAAGACCUACCCUACAAUAACACCUCGACGAGGACACAAACUCAACACUGCGGACUCUGAAACUGAAAUAUGCAAAGGCUAUGACGCGGAAGGGUUGUAGGACAAGAAAACGAUAUGACACUGGACUUAUGGGACGAACACAAGAACACUCGAAACUAAUGGUAGAUGUGAACCUAAUGGUAUACCUAAAGCUUUGAUUAUCACUUGAUGGGAACAAGGGUGGCCCGAUCUUCCAAAAUGUUCUGGUAACUCUCGAUUUGGUGGAGACGAGACACAAAUCGAUCCGGCUUUCGAAUAACAUGAUCCAAAACCCUGCGUUUUUUAUUUUUUUGAUAUUUUUCUUUUAGUCAGGAGCACCAAAGGAGUAACCAUAGAAAAUGAGCUUAAACAAGUAAAAGACAUGGCCUGCGGACUUUUCUGAAGAUUGUGAAAAAUGUGAAAAAACAUCACGAGGUGAAAACUCAAACUUCAGAAGUGAAUUUGGAGGUACUAAAAUUUUCAAACCCGCCAAUGGAGGGGACAGACAGAUCCAAAAAAUUUUUCUGAUCGAUUUUGAUGUAUGGAAUGUUGAAAUCGGAGUUUGUAUGCGAAAGUUAUGGCUAUUUUACAAACGGACUCCGAAUUAGAGGACAAAACGGCGGUGCCUAGAAAUUGAUGGAAACGGUGGGGAAAAAGACAUGAACUGGACUCUAACAAGACUUAACCAGCAAGAAGACCUCGACCAGGACACAAACUCAACACUGCGGACUCUAAAACUGAAUUAUGCAAAGGCUAUGGCGCGGAAGGGUUGUAGGACAAGAAAAUGAUAUAGCACUGGACUUAUAGGGACAAACACGAGAACACUCGAAACUAAGGGUAGAUGUGAACCUAAUGGUAUACCUAAAGCUUUGAUUUCCACAUGAUGAGAACAAGGGUGACCCGAUCUUCUGAAAGGUUCUGGUAACUCUCGAUUUGGUGGAGACGAGACACAAAUCGAUCCGGCUUCCGAACAACACGAUCCGAAACCCUGCAAUUGUUUUAUUUUUUUUGAUAUUUUUCUUUUAGUUAGAGCACCAAAGGAGUAACCACAGAAAAUUUGAGCUUAAACCAGUGAAAGACAAGGUCUACGAAAAUUUCUGAAAAUUGUGAAAAAUGUGAAAAAAACAUCAUGAGGUGAAAACUCAAACUUCAGAGGUGAAUUUGGAGGUCCUAAAAUUUUCAAACCAGCCAAUGGAGGGGACAGACAGAUCUGAAAUUUUUUUCUGAUCGAUUUUGAUAUAUGGAACAUUGAAAUCGGAGCUCGUAUUCGAAUGAUAUGGCUAUUUUACGAACGGACUCCAAAUUAGAUGACAAAACGGUCCGAAAGUGGGAAAAAUUUGCGGUGGUGGCUAGAAAUUGAUGAAAACGGUGGGGGAAAAUACAUGAACUGGACUCUAACAAGACCUAACCAGCAACAAGACCUCGACGAGGACACAAACUCAAAACUGCGGACACUAAAACUGAAAUAUGCAAAGGCUAUGACGCGGAAGGGUUGUAGGACAAGAAAACGAUAUGACACUGGACUUAUGGGACAAACCAAGAACACUCAAAACUAAGGGUAGAUGUGAACCUAACGGUAUACCGAAAGUUUUGAUUUCCACAUAUGAGAACAAGGGUGACCCGAUCUUCUGAAGUUCUGGUAACUCUCGAUUUGGUGGAGACGAGACACAAAUCGAUCCGGCUUCCGAACAACACGAUCCGAAAACCUGUAAUUUUUUUUUGAUAUUUUUCUUUUAGUUAGAGCACCAAAGGAGUGACCACAGAAAAUUUGAGCUUAAACUAGUGAAAGACAUGGCCUACGAAAAUUUCUAAAAAUUGUGAAGAAUGUGAAAAAAAAACAUCACGAGGUGAAAACUCAAACUUCAGAGGUGAAUUUGGAGGUUCUAAGCUUUUCAAACUUGCCAAUGGAGGGGACAGGGAGAUCUGAAAUUUUUUUCUGAUCGAUUUCGAUAUAUGGAACAUUGAAAUCAGAGCUCGUAUGUGACAGUUAUGGCUAUUUUACGAACGGACUCCAAAUUAGAGGACAAAAUUGUUCGAAAGUGGGAAAAAUUUGCGGCGGUGGCUAGAAAUUAAUGGAAACGGUGGGGGAAAAUACAUGAACUGGACUCUAACAAGACCUAACCAGCAAUAAGACCUCGACGAGGACACAAACUCAACACUGCGGACUCUGAAACUGAAAUAUGCACAGGCCAUGACGUGGAAGGGUUGUAGGACAAGAAAACGAUAUGACACUACACUUAUGGGACGAACACAAGAACACUCGAAACUAAGGGUAGAUGUGAACCUAAUGGUAUCCCUAAAGCUUUGAUUUCCACAUGAUGAGAACAAGGGUGACCCGAUCUUCUGAAAGGUUCUGGUAACUCUCGAUUUGGUGGAGACGAGACACAAAUCGAUCCGGCUUCCGAACAACACGAUCCGAAAACCUGUAAUUUUUUUUGAUAUUUUUCUUUUAGUUAGAGCACCAAAGGAGUGACCACAGAAAAUUUGAGCUUAAACUAGUGAAAGACAUGGCCUACGAAAAUUUCUGAAAAUUGUGAAGAAUGUGAAAAAAAAACAUCACGAGGUGAAAACUGAAACUUCAGAAGUGAAUUUGGAGGUUCUAAGGUUUUCAAACUUGCCAAUGGAGGGGACAGGGAGAUCUGAAAUUUUUUUCUGAUCGAUUUCGAUAUAUGGAACAUUGAAAUCAGAGCUCGUAUGUGACAGUUAUGGCUAUUUUACGAACGGACUCCAAAUUAGAGGACAAAAUUGUCCGAAAGUGGGAAAAAUUUGCGGCGGUGGCUAGAAAUUGAUGGAAACGGUGGGGGAAAAUACAUGAACUGUUCUCUAACAAGACCUAACCAGCAAUAAGACCUCGACGAGGACACGAACUCAACACUGCGGACUCUGAAACUGAAAUAUGCAAAGGCUAUGACACGGAAGCGUUGUAGGACAAGAAAACGAUAUGACACUGCACUUAUGGGACGAACACAAGAACACUCAAAACUAAGGGUAGAUGUGAACAUAAUGGUAUACCUAAAGCUUUGAUUUCCACAAGAUAAGAACAAGGGUGACCGGAUCUUCUGAAAGGUUCUGGUAACUCUCGAUUUGGUGGAGACGAGACACAAAUCCAUCCGGCUUCCGAACAACAUGAUCCGAAACCGUGCAAUUUUUUUUAUUUUUUUGAUAUUUUUCUUUUAGUUAGAGCACCAAACGAGUAACCAUAGAAAAUUUGAGCUUAAACCAGUGAAAGACAUGGCCUACGAAAAUUUCUGAAAAUUGUGAAAAAUGUGAAAAAAACAUCACGAGGUGAAAACUCAAACUUCAGAGGUGAAUUUGGAUGUUCUAAAAUUUCCAAUCCCGCCAAUGGAGGAAACAGACAGAUCCGAAAUUUUUUUCUGAUCGAUUUUGAUAUAUGGAACGUUGAAAUCGGAGCUCGUAUGCGAAAGUUAUGACUAUUUUCCGAACGGACUCCAAAUUAGAGGACAAAACGGUCCGAAAGUGGGAAAAAUUUGCGGCGGUGGCUUGAAAUUUAUGGAAACGGUGGGGGAAAAUACAUGAAUUGGACUCUAACAAGACCUAACCAGCAACAAGACAUCGACAAGGACACAAACUCAACACUGCAGACUCUGAAACUUAAAUAUGCAAAGGCUAUGGCGCGGAAGGGUUGUAGGACAAGAAAACGAUAUGACACUGGACUUAUGGGACGAACACAAGAACACUCGAAACUAAGUGUAGAUUUAAACCUAAUGGUAUACCUAAAGCUUUGAUUACCACAUGAUGAGAACAAGGGUGACCCGAUCUUCUAAAAGGUUCUGGUAACUCAAGAUUUGGUGCAGACGAGACACAAAUUGAUCCGGCUUCCGAACAACAUGAUCCGAAAUCCUGCAAUUUCUUUUAGUUAGGAGCACCCAAGGAGUAACCAUAGAAAUUUUGAGCUUAAACCAGUGAAAGACAUGGCCUACGAAAAUUUCUGAAAAUUGUGAAAAAUGUGAAAAAAACUUCACGAGGUGAAAACUCAAACUUCGGACGUGAAUUUGGAGUUUUCUAAAAUUUUCAAACCCGCCAAUAGAAGGGACACACAGAUCCAAAAUUUUUUUUAAUCGAUUUUGAUAUAUGAAACGUUGAAAUUGAAGUUUUUAUGCAAAAGUUAUGGCUAUUUUAUUAAAGGACUCCGAAUUAGAGGACAAAACGAUCCGAAAGUGGAAAAAAUUUACGGCAGGUGCUAGAAAUUGAUGGAUACGGUGGGGAAAAACACACAAACUGGACUCUAACAAGACCUAACCAGCAACAAAACCUCGACGAGGACACAAACUCAACACUGCGGACUCUGAAACUGAAAUAUGCAAAGGCUAUGGCGCAGAAGGGUUGUAGGACAGGAAAACGAUAUGGCACUGGACUUAUGGGACGAAUACAAGAACACUCGAAACUAAGGGUAGAUGUGAACCUAAUGGUAUACCUAAAUCUUUGAUUACCACUUGAUGAGAACAAGGCUGGCCUGAUCCUCCGAAAGGUUCUGGUAACUCUGGUGGAGACGAGACACAAAUCGAUCCGGCUUUCGAACAACAUGAUCCAAAACCCUACAAUUUUUUUAUUUUUUUGAUAUUUUUCAUUUAGUUAGGAGCACCGAAGGAGUAACCAUAAAAAAUUUGUGCUUAAACAAGUGAAAGACAUGGCCUGCGGACUUUUCUGAAGAUUGUGAAAAAUGUGAAAAGAACAUCGCGAGGUGAAAACUCAAAUUUCAGAGGUGAAUUUGGAGGUACUAAAAUUUUCAAACCUACCAAUGGAGGGGACGGACAGAUCCAAUUUUUUUUUCUGAUCGAUUUUGAUGUAUGGAACGUUGAAAUUGGAGUUCGUAUGCGAAAGUUAUGGCUAUUUUACGAACGCACUCUGAAUUAGAGGAUAAAACGGCGGUGGCUAGAAAUUGAUGGAAACGGUGGGGAAAAAGACAUGAACUGGACUCUAACAAGACCUAACCAACAACAAGACCUCAACCAGGACACAAACUCAACACUGUGGUCUCUAAAACUGAAAUAUGCAAAGGAUAUGGCGCGAAAGGGUUGUAGGACAAGAAAAUGAUAUCGCACUGGACUUAUAGGGACAAACACAAGAACACUCGAAACUAAGGGUAGAUGUGAACCUAACGGUAUACCUAAAGCUUUGAUUACGACUUGAUGAGAACAAGGGUGGCCCGAUCUUCCGAAAGGUUCUAGUAACUCUUGAUUUGGUGGAGACGAGACACAAAUCGAUCCGGCUUCCAAACAACACGAUGCGAAACCCUGCAAUUUUUUUUAUUUUUUUGAUAUUUGUCUUUUAGUUAGAGCACCAAAGGAGUAACCACAGAAAAUUUGAGCUUAAACAAGUAAAAGACAUGGCCUGCUGAAUUUUCUGAAGAUUGUGAAAAAUGUAAAAAUAACUUCAUGAGGUAAAAACUCAAACUUCGGAGGUGAAUUUGGAGGUUCUAAAUUUUUCAAACCUUCCAAUGGAGGGGACAGACAUAUCCAAAAAUUUUUUCUGAUCAAUUCUGAUAUAUGAAACGUUAAAAUCGGAGUUCGUAUGCGAAAGUUAUGGCUAUUUUACGAACGGACUCCGAAUUAGAGGACAAAACGAUCCGAAAGUGGGAACAAUUUGCGGCGGUGGCUAGAAAUUGAUGGAAACAGUGGGCAAAAACAAAUGAACUGGACUCUAACAAGACCUAACCAACAACAAGACCUCGACCAGGACACAAACUCAACACUGCGGACUCUGAAACUAAAAUAUGCAAAGGCUAUGGCGCGGAAGGGUUGUAGGACAGAAAAACGAUAUGGCACUAGACUUAUGGGACAAACACAAGAACACUCGAAACUAAGGGUAGAUGUGAGCCUAAUGGUAUACCUAAAGCUUUGAUUACCACUUGAUGAGAACAAAGGUGGCCCGAUCUUCUGAAAGGUUGUGGUAACUCUCGAUUUGGUGGAGACGAGACACAAAUCGAUCAGCUUCCGAACAACACGAUCCGAAACCCUGCAAUUGUUUUUCUAUUUUUUUUGAUAUUUUUCUUUUAGUUAGGAGCACAAAAGGAGUAACCACAGAAAAUUUGAGCUUAAACAAGUGAAAGACAUGGCCUGCGGAAUUUUCUGAAGAUUGAGAAAAAUGUGAAAAAAACUUCACGUGGUGAAAACUCAAACUUCGGAGGUGAAUUAUGAGAUUCUAAAGGUUUCAAAUCCACCAAUGGAGGGGACAGACAGAUACAAAAAAUUUUCUGAUCAAUUUUGAUAUAUGGAACGUUGAAAUCGGAGUUCGUAUGCGAAAGUUAUGGCUAUUUUUCAAACGGACUCCGAAUUAGAGGACAAAACGGUCCGAAAGUGGGAAAAAUUUGCGGCGGUGGCUAGAAAUUGAUGGAAAUAGUGGGGAAAAACAUAUGAACUGGACUUGAUAAAGACCUAACGAGCAACAAGACCUCGACCAGGACACAAACUCAACACUGUGGACUCUCAAACUGAAAUAUGCAAAGGCUAUGGCGUGUAAGGGUUGUAGGACAGGAAAAUGAUAUGGCACUGGACUUAUGGGACGAACCCAAGAACACUCGAAACUAAGGGUAGAUAUCAACCUAACGGUACACCUAAAGCUUUGAUUACCACUUGAUGAGAACAAGGGCGGCCCGAUCUUCCGAAAGGUUCUGGUAACUCUCGAUUUGGUGGAGACGAGACACAAAUCGAUCCGGCUUCCGAACAACACGAUCUGAAAGCCUACAAUUUUUUUUAUUUUUUUGAUAUUUUUCUUUGAGUUCGGAGCACCAAAGGAGCAACCACAGAAAAUUUGAGCUUAAACAUGUGAAAGACAUGGCCUGUGGAAUUUUCUGAAGAUUGUGGAAAAUGUGAAAAAACUUCGCGAGGUGAAAACUCAGACUUCGGAGGUGAAUUUGGAGGUUUUAAAGUUUUCAAACCCCCCAAUGGAGGGGACACACAGAUCCAAAAAAUUUUUCUAAUCGAUUUUGAUAUAUGGAACAUUGAAAUCGGAGUUCGUAUGCGAAAGUUAUGGUUAUUUUACGAACGGACUCCGAAUUAGAGGACAAAACGGUCCGAAAGUGAGAAUAAUUUGCGGUGGUGGCUAGAAAUUGAUGGAAACAGUGGGGAAAAACAUAUGAACUAGACUUUAACAAGACCUAACCAGCAACAAGACCUCGACCAGGAGACAAACUCAACACUUCGGACUCUGAAACUGUAAUAUGCGAAGGCUAUAGCGUGGAAGGGUUGUAGGACAGAAAAAUGAUAUGGCACUGGACUUAUGGGACGAAUACAAGAACACUCGAAACUAAAGGUAGUUAUAAACCUAAAGGUAUACCUAAAGCUUUGAUUACCACUUGAUUUGAACAAGGGUGGCCCGAUCUUCCGAAAGGUUCCGGUAACUAUCGAUUUUGAGGAGACGAGACACAAAUCGAUCCGGCUUCCGAACAACACGAUCCGAAACUCAGCAAAUUCUUUUUAUUUUUUUGUUAUUUUUCUUUCAGUUAGGAGCACCAAAGGAGUAACCACAAAAAAUUUAAGCUUAAACAAGUGAAAUACAUGGCCUGUGGAAUUUUCUGAAGUUUCUGAAAAAUGAGAAAAAAAACUACACGAUGUGAAAACUCAAAUUUUGGAGGUGAAUUUGGAGGUUCUAAAAUUUUCAAACCCGCCAAUGGAGGGGAUAGAUAGAUCCAAAAAAUUUUUUUGAUCGAUUUUGAUAUAUGGAACACUGAAUUCGGAGUUCGUAUGCGAAAGUUAUGGCUAUUUUACGAUCGGACUCUGAAUUAUAGGACAAAACGGUCCGAAAGUAGAAAAAAUUUGCGGCGGUGGCUAGAAAUUGAUGGAAACGGUAGAGAAAAACACACGAACUGGACUCUAUCAAGACGUAACCAGCAAAAAGACCUCGACCAUGACACAAACUCAACACUGCGGACUCUGAAACUGAAAUAUGCAAAGGCUAUGACAUAGAAGGGUUGUAGGACAGGAAAAUAAUAUGGCACUGGACUUAUGGGACGAACACAAGAACACUCAAAACUAAGGGUAGAUAUGAACCUAACGGUACACCUAAAGCUUUGAUUACUGUUGACGGUCCUUAAUGCUCACAUUUAACCAUCAACUAAUCAUAGAAAAGGAUCCAAAUGCAACCAACACCUAGACUUAAGGUUUUAUCUGACAGAAAUUCCACGAGUUUUGGUGUUUGUCUGUUUCUGCAGGGGGUUAUCAGGAAAUACGAAAGGAAGGCCCACACGUCGGGUUUACAUAGAGAUAUUAACGUGCCGCGCAAUUUUCUAUCAUCUAGAAGACUCCAGAAGCCACGGGACCGAACGGGAGACGUAACGGAGCCGGGCACUGGGCGCCCCCCCUCCCUUACUGGGCGCCCGCCCUCUCCCCUGGACCAAUCAGGGUGAAGUUCGGGGAUCGUGCUCCACCGACCUAAUACUUCAAGGAAAACCACACGAUCAAUGUCGGUUUGAUCCGACGGCCCAGAUUCACUUGAAGGGACUAUAAAACCAGACCCCCCUGGCCCCUGGAGAUCAUACCUCUUCUACAGAAUCAAAGCUAGGGUUUCAAUUCUUCAUCCAAGUAGAGAGGAUCCCUCUAGUUCUUCUAGUUCUACCUCUAGUUCAUCUAGAUCUAGUUCUAGUUCAUCUAGUUCUAGUUCUAGUUCCUCUAGUUCUAGUUCUAGUUAGUUCUAGUUGUAAUCUAGAAAAUAGGGAGAGAGAAGAGGAGAGCGGAGGAGGAGCCGGAUCUGUCGGAUCUUCCUCAACAUUGUACUUUUGCAGCAUCUGGUUCGUUCUUCAUCGUUCUCCAGGUUCUUAAAUUCAUAAUUCCUGAGUUCUUUAAUUACUUUUAUUUACAUUCAAGUUAUUUAUUGGAUUCCCGCUUGCAUCAAGUGCUCUAGUCUUUAUAACGCUAGAGUAGUAAUUAAUAGAUUAGACGUGGUGUUUAGUCUUGCGAUUACCUGGAAUUGCACCCAAUCCCACGGAUUGUUGUGGUAGCCUUAGGGUAGUGACAGCCCUAACGGUCGAUGUAUUCCACCUCGUUCGGAUCGGUGUUUGUAGGACCGUAGUCGGAGCUUCCUAGCCCCCUUCUCAUCUCUUUCUCUGGUUAGUGUUCUGAUGUCCCGAAAUAGAUAAUCUUGAAGUAAUUCUUGAUUCUUAGAUCAACUAGAGAACUCUCAGGAAACUUCCUCUCUUCCCAACAAAAAAUAAUUAUAUAGUUAUCCUUGGGCGAUCUUGAUUCUUAAUUAGUACACUCACGUUCCCUGUGGAAAAUCGAUACUCUGGAAUACUCCCGGGUGAAGGCUACAUCGGUAUCCGUGCGCUUGCGGAUUUUUCUGUUUGCGUUUAAAAUACCCAACAAGCUUUCUGGCGCCGUUGCCGGGGAACGGUAGGUGUGCUAGUUUCGAACCAAGUCGUCCGUGUAUCCUUUUUCUUUUCCUUUUUUAUCACACUCACCUUACUAUUUUCACCAUACCACAUGGAUUUCACUCUAAGCAUUAAUGAGCAUGGAAUUUAUUUCAUAGCCACUUCAUUUACUCCAUGCUCAUAUGCAACAUCUUCACAAUCCAUUGGUCUCUCCAACAUCACCACAUUCGAGAUCUCCAACCCCCUCUUACUUUCUAUUCAUAAAAACUUUAAAAGGGCGGUUGUCGAUGCAUAUGUCUAUAUUAAAUAUUGCAGAUCUCGUUGAGUUGAUCUUGAUAUAGGUCAGCGUUGGAGGGGAAACCACUCACCGACAUAAAUUGAUGGUUUCCCAAGGACAAGCUUAGCGUCCUAAAAUAAGCACUGAUCAGAUCGUAACAUAAGCUUUUAAUUAUUUGCAACACUACCUUGUGUAUUGAGCAUAUAAGGAUAAUUGUAAAAAUAUCCCUUCGGGUAUUCUUGUCACUAACCUUUGCAGGAUUGGAGCAAGAAGAUCGGAUGAAUGACAAGCACAAGGUAUGUCCAACCAAUCAUCAUACAACAUUGAAUUAAAUUCAUCCAAACUUGAAUUUUGCAAAAUUCUAGCUUGGGGGAGUACUUUACAUAAAAACAUCCUUUGCCAUGUUGCUAUGUUGGUUGUCCCUACCUUUGAGACAUGCUCAAUUGGUUAAAUACUAAUCACACUACUUCAUCUCCACUUGAGUAGAUCUCUAUAAAUGCUCUCAUGAUACCUUUAUUUGCUUUAGUAUAUGUCUAGGUUUGGAGUAGUUUCAUAUAUCUCUUAAUUAAGCAUGGUGCUUAGCUAGGAAUGAUGAUCUUACUUCCAAGGGAUUUUAAAUUAAGCAUGGUGCUUAGGUUAAAAUGCCCUCCUGAAUCAAAUUAGACAUGGUGUCUAGGUUGAUUUUUGAGCUGAUAGUAUGCUAUAGUAGAUAUGGGAUAUUUUGUUGGAUUAACCCCUGCAGGAAAACUUUCAAUAUCGACCUGGGAAGUCCUGAGAUAAACUCACAUUGGAGACAAAGAGAGAGACACAUAAAGUUUAACAAUUUACACAAGGAAGGCAUAGCUCACAAGAGAUGAUUCAUGGAGGGUGCCACAAACACGAUGCACAACCGCUAAGAAAGGAAAGCUUCCACAAGGUGAUACUGUACCAUCACUCUUCAAGUAAGGUAACAUCUUAAGGUACUUGACUAUCACUUCUAUAAGCUUUUCCUUGGUUCUGGCAUUCACAUGAAUAAAAGAGACAAACAUGUAUGAUUUACAACUUUAGAUUAAUCAACCCAAUCGAUUCAACAUGUUUAGUCUUUCUACCUUCGUGAUCCCACACUCCUAAUCAUAUAAGCUAAAACGUUGCACAUUCAAUCUUUGGAAGAUAUAAACAAAACAUAAGUAUACAUAGAUUAUCUUUCCAUUAGGUUGAGCGAUGUGAUCUGACAAAUGUUUUAAAUAUUACACUCAUGAUAUUAUUAUCCAUCAACUUGGUCUUGCUCAUUAUGCUUAAGGAUAGAGAAGAAUAAAUACACUUUUGGUUCUGUUGGUGUUUUCCACCAACAGGGCCCAUGCACUUGAUCUCUGCCUUGUCUCUAUGAGCAGGUACACUUUAAGCAAAACAUGGAAGAGUUUUACAACUCCCAGACUCCACCAAGUGAAGAACCUAGAUCUACGAGCACAAACACACUGGAGAGACUGGACACUCAGGCAAUCACUGCCCUAAGAUGCUUGAGGACGUAACUACUGGAGUAACCCAUGGAAGUAAUUACUGACCUUCUGCAGGUCAAGAGAGACAAUCCAGGACGCCCCGUCAUCCCGAUCUCCAUCAGCUUGCAGAUCAGACACUAAGUUUCCCAAAGGGAAUAUUGAAGAACCUCUGCGUCCGAGUUGGUACCUUGUACGCCCCAGCAGACUUCGUGGUGAUAGAGACUGGUACUGAUGAGAGGGCACCCAUCCUAGGGAGGCCAUUCCUGAACACCUCAGGAGCUGUCAUCUACGCUAGUGCUGCCAAGAUCAAUUUCUACAUCAAGGGGAGGAAGGAGACGUUUUCCUUCAAGAACAAGACUACACAAAUCUCAGAGCAAUCCCGACAUGAACCAAGGAAGAGGAUCAACAGGGGGAGCAGGAACAAGCAAAUGUGGACUGAGUCAGCUAAGAUGGUCACUGCAGCUCAACGAGGUCAAGAUCGUCGACUUAAGUCACCGUUCCUGACCAAAAAGGAUGCCGCAAUCACUUAACAGCUCCUCUAUGGAACCAUGUCCCUACAACCGACAUACAUUCAGCUCCAGAUGGCAGAUCAGACAUUCCGUAAGGUUAUUGUCAUGGGAGAAGACGAGUACAAUCCACCCGUCAUCCUUAGAAGACCGUUCCUCAGCACCGUUAAAGCAAUCAUCUACAUUGGAACCGGAGAAGUCCACAUGAACUUCCCCUCUGAGAAGGUACGUCGCUGUUUUACUGACCCUAACUAUAUAGUUGAAGAUUCUAAGCAGGUCAGGACAAGAAGAAGACGACGCAACCAUAACCAGAGGAGGAAAAUCAUAAAGGACGGAUGGGCAGAGUACGAAGGAGAAGUGCACCAAGGCAGGUGUGGAGAAAGAAGAUAGUUAUACAUGAAGAGUAUGCGCCGCCGGAACCACCGACUACGCCAUCCAGCGAAUCCCAGGACGAUUGAGAAAACGGAGAGUCCCGUUCGGAGGACUUAAAAACACCGAACGCCAUGCCAAGAGGUAAACUUGGUAGUUAUCUUUUUCCUUUCAAUUAUUUUAAAAAUAGUUUGCUUAGUUAAUGAGGUUUAUAUCAUCUUAAAAAGAAAAUAAAAAUGUUAAAAAUAGUAAGCCCCAUGUGAGUAUGCUCAUGGCAUAAAACCCAUAAGUACAUUCACUGUGGUGGCAUAAAAAUGAAAUAAAUAUAUUCCUGUCCUAUAAAAAUGAAAAUAUAAAAAUAGAUUUAUGAUCCCACUAAAAAGUGUAAUAUUUAUUGAGGAGACUCAACAUGAUAAAGGCUAGAUAUUUAUGCUAACACUUAACUAGUUCCACAAGCUUUGUUGUCUAUUUGAGCUCCACAGAAUUCAAGGAUCAAAGAAGACGGAGGACAUCCUAGUCGCCGUCAGGGUGCUGCUGACAUUAAAAUAUACCUUUGCCACCUGCUAGCUACAUUAGAAGAAAUUACAUCAAUAUCCAGCUUGGGGGAGAGCACCCCCAUUUAUCCAGCUAAGUGUUCUACUCACGUUUAUAUUUUACUCAAAUAAUAAAAAGAUGCAUGAUCAUAAAAACCCAAAUAAAGUUUUUGUGCUUAUAUAUAUCCUUGCUUAGUUUGCUAAAUAAAUAAAUAAAUAAAGUUUGCUAUGAACCCUCAUGAUAAGCUCUCACAUGGAAAUGAUGAAUAGUUGCUCUGCUAUGACUAGUUCUCAAAAUUGAAAUCUCUCUCAAGUUUAGGCCUAACUGUUAUUAAUUAAGAUUUGCUCUAAACCUGAACUUGUGGGAAGAGUACUUGAUCUGAAGUCUAAGUCGUUAACGGAUAUGAUAUAGGAAGGUUGAGCUGCUGUUUAUCUGUUCUUAGAGAUGCUAGAAUUCUGGAGAAUUUUAUCUUUGAAAAUCUUUAAAAUGUUGCAUGAUGAGUUCCUGUAUGAUGAGAGUUUAAAUUCCUACCACAGCCAGAUAUACAUGCUUGCUAGACUUUGAGCCACACAUUUACUUUUUACUACUUAUGAGCAUUGAGUGUGGUCAAGCUGUGUAGACCCUUAGGAGCUUGUCAUGUGGUUAAAUCAAGAUUCACUUGCACGUUCACUCACACAUGCUACUUCUACUCCGGAAGUACCAUCAAUAUAUAUCCAUUUCCAUCUCCAGAACCACCUAAAAAUAUUCUACUCCUAAUCCAGGAGAGAAUAGCCAAAAAUAUUUCUAUUUUUCCCUGUGAAAUAAAUGCUCAAGUUAUCUUGUUACUACCACUUGCUAUAUUAUCUCAUGAGAUGAGUGCUCUAAUAAAAAAGAAGAAAAAAAAUACGAGGAAAUAAAAAGGGGCAAGUGCCCGGAACCUCGAAAGAAAAAAAAAGUGUGACGAGAGGUAAAAAAUGGACAAGUGUCCGACAGUAGAAUUAGGGGUACAAGAUACCCACCCGAGAGAAAAGAAAAAGAAAAUAUAGAGCAUCUCAUUCUCCUCAAAAAGUUUCAAAAGAGCAAGAAAGGUAUGUAUCCUCUCAAAAGAGCAUAAGUAGAAUUAGACUUUCACCAUUGUUAUCACCAUCAUCACCAUACACCAUUCAUUCGCCACACAUGCACAUCUUGAUUUGACUUAUUGACUUGUUCUUCUGGAUCCAUGGUUUGACUAUGCAAUAUAUGUCUUGUAAGUAUGUAUUAGCUGUCUCCCACCUAUGAGCUCCAGAUAUCAAAACCUUAUUAGAGUAGGGUGAGAGAGAAGGCAAUGUCACUAUGCUUCAUACCAAAAAUACCACAUAUUUUGAGAGAAGGCAUAUACCAUUACUGCCUUGGUAAGGAUCCAGAAAUACCACAAAAGAGAGACUAGAGAGAGUCAUACAAGGAAUCUCUGAGUUUUAUUUGAAAAUCUGCAAAAACUCCAGAGCUAUAGUUAAUCGAAGAACAAGAGACAUGGCGCUUGACUAGACCGUUCUAUCUUUUAACUGCUUAAGACACAAGUGACGGUUGCAAGCCCCAUGGUGGAAGGUAAAAUGAGUAAGUUUAAAUCUUAAUAGUUACCCUAACCCAGAGAUGAGAUCUUUUUUAAAUGCAUGUGCAUUUUUAAGGCAUGAAACCACUGCAGAAACUUUUGAGUCUAUCUUUGCUCAGGGACGAGCAAAGGUUAAGCUUGGGGGAGCUUGUUGACGGUCCUUAAUGCUCACAUUUAACCAUCAACUAAUCAUAGAAAAGGAUCCAAAUGCAACCAACACCUAGACUUAGGGUUUUAUCUGACAGAAUUCCACGAGUUUUGGUGUUUGUCUGUUUCUGCAGGGGGUUAUCAGGAAAUACGAAAGAAAGGCCCACACGUUGGGUUUACAUAGAGAUAUUAACGUGCUGCGCAAUUUUCUAUCAUCUAGAAGACUCCAGAAGCCACGGGACCGAACGGGAGACGUAACGGAGCCGGGCACUGGGCGCCCGCCCUCCCUUACUGGGCGCCCGCCCACCUCUUUCCACCAAUCAGGGUGAAGUUCGGGGAUCGUGCUCCACCGACCUAAUACUUCAAGGAAAACCACACGAUCAAUGUCGGUUUGAUCCGACGGCCCAGAUUCACUUGAAGGGACUAUAAAACCAGACCCCCCUGGCCCCUGGAGAUCAUACCUCUUCUACAGAAUCAAAGCUAGGGUUUCAAUUCUUCAUCCAAGUAGAGAGGAUCCCUCUAGUUCUUCUAGUUCUACCUCUAGUUCAUCUAGAUCUAGUUCUAGUUCAUCUAGUUCUAGUUCUAGUUCCUCUAGUUCUAGUUCUAGUUAGUUCUAGUUGUAAUCUAGAAAAUAGGGAGAGAGAAGAGGAGAGCGGAGGAGGAGCCGGAUCUGUCGGAUCUUCCUCAACAUUGUACUUUUGCAGCAUCUGGUUCGUUCUUCAUCGUUCUCCAGGUUCUUCAAUUCAUAAUUCCUGAGUUCUUUAAUUACUUUUAUUUACAUUCAAGUUAUUUAUUGGAUUCCCGCUUGCAUCAAGUGCUCUAGUCUUUAUAACGCUAGAGUAGUAAUUAAUAGAUUAGACGUGGUGUUUAGUCUUGCGAUUACCUGGAAUUGCACCCAAUCCCACGGAUUGUUGUGGUAGCCUUAGGGUAGUGACAGCCCUAACGGUCGAUGUAUUCCACCUCGUUCGGAUCGGUGUUUGUAGGACCGUAGUCGGAGCUUCCUAGCCCCCUUCUCAUCUCUUUCUGUGGUUAGUGUUCUGAUGUCCCGAAAUAGAUAAUCUUGAAGUAAUUCUUGAUUCUUAGAUCAACUAGAGAACUCUCAGGAAACUUCCUCUCUUCCCACCAAAAAAUAAUUAUAUAGUUAUCCUUGGGCGAUCUUGAUUCUUAAUUAGUACACUCACGUUCCCUGUGGAAAAUCGAUACUCUGGAAUACUCCCGGGUGAAGGCUACAUCGGUAUCCGUGCGCUUGCGGAUUUUUCUGUUUGCGUUUAAAAUACCCAACAAUUACCACUUGAUGAGAACACGGGUGGCCCGAUCUUCCGAAAGGUUCUGGUAACUCUCGAUUUGGUGGAGACGAGACACAAAUUGAUCCGGCUUCCGAACAACACGAUACGAAACCCUACAAUUUUCUUUAUUUUUUUCAUAUUUUUCUUUUAGUUAGGAGCACCAAAGGAGUAACCACAAAAAAAUUGAGCUUAAACAAGUGAAAGACAUGGCCCGCGAAAUUUUCUGAAGAUUGUGAAAAAUGUGAAAAAAACUUCACGAGGUGAAAACUCAAACUUUAGAGGAUCUAAAGUCAAUCAAACCUGCCAUUGAAGGGCACAGACAGAUCCAAAAAAUUUUUCUGAUCGAUUUUUUUAUAUGGAACGUUGAAAUCGGAGUUCGUAUGCGGAAGUUAUGGCUAUUUUAUGAACGGACUCCGGAUUAGAGGACAAAACGGUCCGAAAAUGAGAAAAAUUGCGGCGGUGGCUAAAAAUUGAUGGAAAUAGUGGAGAAAAACAUAUGAACUGGACCCUAACAAGACCUAACCAGCAACAAGACCUCGACCAGGACACAAACUCAACACUACGGACUCUGAAACUAAAAUAUGCAAAUUCUAUGGCGUGGAAGGGUUGUAGGACAGGAAAAUGAUAUGGCACUGGACUUAUGGGACGAACACAAGAACACUCAAAACUAAAGAUAGUUAUGAACCUAAUGGUAUACCUAAAGCUUUGAUUACCACUUGAUUUGAACAAGGGUGGUCUGAUCUUCCGAAAGGUUCUGGUAACUAUCGAUUUGGAGGAGAAGAGACACAAAUUGAUCCGCUUUCGAACAACACGAUCCGAAACUCAGCAAAUUCUUUUUAUUAUUUUUUGAUAUUUUUCUUUCAGUUAGGAGCACUAAAGAAGUAACCACAGAAAAUUUAAGCUUAAACAAGUGAAAGACAUGGCCUGUGGAAUUUUCUGAAGUUUGUGAAAAAUGUGAAAAAAACUUCAUGAUGUGAAAACUUAAACUUCAGAGGUGAAUUUGGAGGUUCUAAAAUUUUCAAACCCGCCAAUGGAGGGGACAAAUAGAUCCAAAAAAUUUUUUUGAUCGAUUUUGAUAUAUGGAACAUUGAAAUCGGAGUCCGUAUGCGAAAGUUAUGGCUAUUUUACGAUCGGACUCCGAAUUAGAGGACAAAACGGUCCGAAAGUGGGAAAAAUUUGCGGCGGUGGCCAGAAAUUGAUGGAAACGAUGGGGAAAAACACACGAACUGGACUCUAACAAGACCUAACCAGCAACAAGACCUCGGCCAGGACACAAACUCAACACUGCGAACUCUGAAACUAAAAUAUGCAAAGGCUAUUGCGUGGAAGGGUUGUAGGACACGAAAACGAUAUGGCACUCGACUUAUGGGACGAAACACUCGAAACUAAGGGUAGAUGUGAACCUAACAGUAUACCUAAAGCUUUGAUUACCACUUGAUGAGUCAAGGGUGGCCCGAUCUUCCGAAAGGUUCUGGUAUCUCUCGAUUUGGUGCAGACGAGACACAAAUCGAUCCGGCUUCCGAACAACACGAUCUGAAAGCCUACAAUUCUUUUUAUUUUUUUGAUAUAUUUCUUUGAGUUAGGAGCACCAAAGGAGUAACCACAGAAAAUUUGAGCUUAAACAAGAGAAAGACAUGGCCUGCGGAAUUUUCUAAAGAUUGUAAAAAAUGUGAAAAAAACUUCACGAGGUGAAAACUCAAACUUUGGAGGUGAAUUUUGAGGUUCUACAAUUUUCAAACCCACCAAUGGAGGGGACAGACAGAUCCAAAGAAAUGUUUCAGAUAGAUUUUGAUAUAUGGAAUGUUGAAAUCGGAGUUCGUAUGCGAAAGUUAUGGCUAUUUUACGGACUACGAAUUAGAGGACAAAACAGUCCGAAAGUGGGAAAAAUUUGCGGCGGUGGCUAGAAAUUGAUGGAAACGGUGGGGAAAAGCACACGAACUGGACUCUAACAAGACCUAACCAGCAACGAGACCUCGACCAGAACACAAACUCAACACUGCGGACUCUGAAACUGAAAUAUGCAAAGGCUAUGGCGCGGAAGGGUUGUAGGACAGGAAAACGAUACGGUACUGGACUUAUUGGACGAACACAAGAACACUCGAAACUAAGGGUAGAUGCCAACCUAAUGGUAUACCUAAAGCUUUGUUUACCACUUGAUGAGAACAAGGGUGGCCCGAUCUUGUGAAAGGUUCUAGUAACUCUCGAUUUGGUGGAGACGAGACACAAAUCAAUCCGGCUUCCAAAUAACACGAUGCGAAACACUUCAAUUUUUUUAUUUUUUUGAUAUUUUUCUUUUAGUUAGGAGCACCAAACGAGUAACCACAUAUAAUUUGACUUUUAAACAAGUGAAAGACAUGGCCUGCGGAUUUUUCUUAAGAUUGUGAAAAAUGUGAAAAAAAACUUCACGGGGUGAAAACUCAAACUUUGGAGGUGAAUUUGGAGGUUCUAAAUUUUCAAACCCACCAAAAGCUAGGACACACAGAUCCGAAAUUUUUGUCUGAUUGAUUUCGAUAUAUGGAACAUUGAAAUUGGAGUUCGUAUGUGAAAGUUAUGGCGAUUUUACGAACGGACUCCGAAUUAGAGGACAAAACGGUAAAUGGGAAAAAUUUGCGGUGGUGGCUAGAAAUUGAUGGAAACGGUAGGGAAAAACACACGAACUGGACUCUAACAAGACCUAACCAGCAACAAGACCUCAAUAAGAACACAAACUCGACACUGCGGACUCUGAAACUGAAAUAUGCAAAGGCUAUGGCGCGAAAGGGUUGUAGGAUACGAAAACGAUAUAGCCCUGGAAUUAUGGGACGAACACAAGAACACUCGAAACUAAGGGUGGAUGUGAACCUAACGGUAUACCUAAAGCUUUGAUUACCACUUGAUGAGAACAAGGGUGACCUGACCUUCCAAAAGGUUCUGAUAUCUCUCGAUUUGGUACAGACGAGACACAAAUCGAUCCGGCUUCCGAACAACAUGAUAUGAAACCGUGCAAUUUAUUUUAUUUUUUUGAUAUUUUUCUUUUAGUUAGUAGCACCAAAGGAGUAACCACAGUAAAUUUGAGCUUAAACAAGUGAAAGACAUGGCCUGCGGAAUUUUUUGAAGAUUGUGAAAAAUGUGAAAAAAAACAUUACGAGGUGAAAACUCAAACUUUAGAGGUGAAUUUUGAGGUUCUAAAAUUUUCAAACCCGCCAAUGGAGGGGAUAGAGAGAUCCAAAAAAAUUUUCGAAUCAAUUUUGAUAUAUGGAACGUUGAAAUCGGAGUUCGUAUGCGAAAGUUAUGGCUAUUUUACGAACGGACUACGAAUUAGAGGACAAAACAGUCUGAAAGUGGGAAAAAUCUGCGGUUGUGGCUAGAAAUUGAUGGAAACGGUGGGGAAAAACACACGAACUGGACUUUAACAAGGCCUAACCAGCAACAAGACCUCAACAAGAACACAAACUCAACACUGCAGACUCUGAAACUGAAAUAUGCAAAGGCUAUGGCGUGAAAGGGUUGUAGGACACGAAAAUGAUAUAGCACUGGACUUAUGGUACGAACACAAGAACACUCGAAACUAAGGGUAGAUGUAAACCUAAUGGUAUACCUAAAGCUUUGAUUAGUAACUCUCGAUUUGAUGGAGACGACACACAAAUCGAUCCGGCUUCCGAACAACACGAUCCGAAACAUGCAAUUUUUUUUAUUUUUUUGAUAUUUUUCUUUUACUUAGGAGCACCAAAGGAGUAGCCACAGGAAAAUUGAGCUUAAACAAGUGAAAGACAUGGCCUGCGGAAUUUUCUGGAAAUUGUGAAAAAUGUGAAAAAAACAUCACGAGCUGAAAACUCAAAUUUCGGAGGUGAAUUUGGAGGUUCUAAAAUUUUCAAACCCACCAAUGAGGGGACAGACAGAUCUUAAUUUUUUUCUAAUCAAUUUUGAUAUAUGGAAUGUUGAAAUCGGAGUUCAUAUGCGAAAGUUAUGGCUAUUUUACGAACGGACUCCGAAUUAGAGCACAAAACGGUCCGAAAGUGGGAAAAAUUUGCGGCGGUGGCUAGAAUUUGAUGGAAACGGUGGAGAAAAAUACAUGAACUGGACUCUAACAAGACCUAACCACCAACAAGACUUCGACCAGGACACAAACUCAACACUGCGGACUCUGAAACUGAAAUAUGCAAAGGCUAUGGCGUGGAAGGGUUGUAGGACACGAAAACGAUAUGGCACUGGACUUAUGGGACGAACACAAGAACACUCGAAACUAAGGGUAGAUGUGAACCUAACGGUAUACCUAAUGCUUUUAUUACCACUUGAUGAGAAAAAGGGUGACCUGAUCUUCCAAAAGGUUCUGGUAUCUCUCGAUUUGGUGCAGACGAGACACAAAUCGAUCCGGCUUCCGAACAACAUGAUACGAAACAAUGCAAAUUUUUUCUAUUUUUUUUUGAUAUUUUUAUUUUAGUUAGGAGCACCGAAGGAGUAACCACAGAGAAUUUGAGCUGAAACAAGUUUAAGACAUGGCCUGCGGAAUUUUUUGAAGAUUGUGAAAAAUGUGAAAAAAAACUUCACGAGGUGAAAACUCAAAAUUUGGAGGUGAAUUUUGAGGUUCAAAAAUUUUCAAACCCGCCAAUGGAGGGGACAGACAGAUCCAAAAAAAAAUUUUGGAUCAAUUUUGAUAUAUGGAACGUUGAAAUCAGAGUUCGUAUGCGAAAGUUAUGGCUAUUUUACGAACGGACUACGAAUUAGAGGACAAAACAGUCCGAAAGUGGGAAAAAUUUGCGGUGCUGGCUAGAAAUUGAUGGAAAUGGUAGGGAAAAACACACGAACUGGACUCUAAUAAGACCUAACCAGCAACAAGACGUCAACAAGAACACAAACUCAACACUGCGGACUCUGAAACUGAAAUAUGCAAAGGCUAUGGCGCGAAAGGGUUGUAGAACACGAAAACGAAAAAGCACUGGACUUAUGGUACGAACACAAGAACACUCGAAACUAAGGGUAGAUGUGAACCUAACGGUAUACUAAUGCUUUUAUUACCACUUGAUGAGAAUAAGUGUGACCUGAUCUUCAAAAAGGUUUUGGUAUCUCUUGAUUUGGUGCAGACGAGACACAAAUCGAUCCGGCUUCCGAACAACAUGAUACGAAACCUUGCAAAUUUUUUUUAUUUUUUUUAAUAUUUUGCUUUUAGUUAGGAGCACCGUAGGAGUAACUACAGAAAAUUUGACCUUAAACAAGUGAAAGACAAGGCCUACGGAAUUUUUUGAAGAUUGUGAAAAAUGUGAAAAAAAACUUCACGAGGUGAAAACUCAAACUUUGGAGAUGAAUUUUGAGGUUCUAAAAUUUUUAAACCCGCCAAUGGAGGGGACAGACAGAUCCAAAAAGAAUUUUGGAUCAAUUUUCAUAUAUGGAACGUUGAAAUCGGAGUUCGUAUGUGAAAGUUAUGGCUAUUUUACGAACGGACUACAAAUUAGACGACAAAACAGUCCGAAAGUGGGAAAAAUUUGCGGCAGUGGCUAGAAAUUGAUGGAAACAGUGGGGAAAAACACACGAACUAGACUCUAACAAAGACCUCGACCAGGACACAAACUCAACACUGCGGACUCUGAAACUGAAAUAUGCAAAGGCUAUGGCGCGGAAGGGUUGUAGGACAAGAAAAUGAUAUGGUACUGGACUUAUGGGACGAACACAAGAACACUCCAAACUAAGGGUAGAUGUGAACCUAAUGUUAUACCUAAAGCUCUGGUUACCACUUGAUGAAAACAAGGGUGGCCCGAUCUUCUGAAAGGUUCUAGUAACUCUCGAUUUGGUGGAGACGAGACACAAAUCGAUCCGGCUUCCGAACAACAUGAUCCGAAACCCUACAAUUUUUUUUUAUAUUUUGAUGUUUUUCUUUUAGUUAGGAGCACCAAAGAAGUAACCACAUAAAAUUUGAGCUUAAACAAGUGAAAGAAAUGGCCUGUGGAAUUUUCUGAAGAUUGUGAAAAAUGUGAAAAAACUUCACGAGGUGAAAACUCAAACUUUGGAGGUGAAUUUGCAGGUUCUAAAAUUUUCAAACCAACCAAAAGCUAGGACACACAGAUCUGAAAUUUUUUUCUGAUCGAUUUUGAUAUAUGGAACGUUGAAAUCGGAGUUCGUAUGUGAAAGUUAUGGCUAUUUUACGAACGGACUACGAAUUAGAGGACAAAACAGUCCGAAAGUGGGAAAAAUUUGCGGCGGUGGCUAGAAAUUGAUGGAAACGGUGGGGAAAAGCACACGAACUGGACUCUAAUAAGACCUAACCAGCAACAAGACCUCAACAAGAACACAAACUCAAAACUGCGGACUCUGAAACUGAAAUAUGCAAAGGCUAUGGCGCGAAAGGGUUAGGACACGAAAACGAAAUAGCACUGGACUUAUGGUACGAACAUAAUAACACUCAAAACUAAGGGUAGAUGUGAACCUAACGGUAUACCUAAUGCUUUUAUUACCACUUGAUGAGAACAAGGGUGACCUGAUCUUCCAAAAGGUUCUGCUAUCUAUCGAUUUGGUGCAGACGAGACACAAAUCGAUUCGGCUUCCGCACAACAUGAUACGAAACCCUGCAAUUUUUUUUAUUUUUUUUGAUAUUUUUAUUUUAGUUAGGAGCACCGUAGGAGUAACCACAGAGAAUUUGAGCUUAAACAAGUUUAAGACAUGGCCUGCGGAUUUUUUUGAAGAUUGUGAAAAAUGUGAAAAAAAACUUCACGAGGUGAAAACUCAAACUUUGGAGGUGAAUUUUGAGGUUCAAAAAUUUUCAAACCCGCCAAUGGAGGGGACAGACAGAUCCAAAAAAAAUUUUUGGAUCGAUUUGAUAUAUGGAACGUUGAAAUCAAAGUUCGUAUGCGAAAGUUAUGGCUAUUUUACGAACGGACUACGAAUUAGAGGACAAAACAGUCUGAAAGUGGGAAAAAUUUGCGGUGGUGGCUAAAAAUUGAUGGAAACGGUAGGGAAAAUACACACGAACUGGACUCUAAUAAGACCUAACCAGCAACAAUACCUCAACAAGAACACAAACUCAACACUGCGGACUCUGAAACUAAAAUAUGCAAAGGCUAUGGCGCGAAAGGGUUGUAGGACACGAAAACGAAAAAGCACUGGACUUAUGGUACGAACACAAGAACACUCGAAACUAAGGGUUGAUGUGAACCUAACGAUAUACCUAAUGCUUUUAUUACCACUUGAUGAGAACAAGGGUGACCUGAUCUUCAAAAAGGUUCUGGUAUCUCUCUAUUUGGUGCAGACGAGACACAAAUCGAUCCGGCUUCCGAACAACAUGAUACGAAACCUUGCAAUUUUUUUAUUUUUUUAAUAUUUUGCUUUUAGUUAGGAGCACCGUAGGAGUAACCACAGAAAAUUUGAGCUUAAACAAGUGAAAGACAUGGCCUACGGAAUUUUUUGAAGAUUGUGAAAAAUGUGAAAAGAACAUCACGAGGUGAAAACUCAAACUUUGGAGAUGAAUUUUCAGGUUCUAAAAUUUUCAAACCCGCCAAUGGAGGGGACAGACAGAUCCAAAAAGAAUUUUGGAUCAAUUUUCAUACAUGGAACGUUGAAAUCGGAGUUCAUAUGUGAAAGUUAUGGCUAUUUUACGAACGGACUACGAAUUAGAGGACAAAACAGUCUGAAAGUGGGAAAAAUUUGCGGCGGUGGCUAGAAAUUGAUGGAAACGGUGGCGAAAAACACACGAACUGGACUCUAACAAAGACCUCGACUAGGACACAAACUCAACACUGCGGACUCUGAAACUGAAAUAUGCAAAGGCUGUGGCGCGGAAGGGUUGUAGGACAAGAAAAUGAUAUGGUACUGGACUUAUGGGACGAACAUAAGAACACUCCAAACUAAGGGUAGAUGUGAACCUAAUGUUAUACCUAAAGCUCUGAUUACCACUUGAUGAGAACAAGGGUGGCCCGAUCUUCUGAAAGGUGCUAGUAACUCUCGAUUUGGUGGAGACGAGACACAAAUCGAUCCGGCUUCCGAACAACAUGAUCCGAAACCCUACAUUUUUUUUAUUUUUUUGAUGUUUUUCUUUUAGUUAGGAGCACCAACGAAGUAAUCACAUAAAAUUUGAGCUUAAACAAGUGAAAGACAUGGCCUGUGGAAUUAUCUGAAGAUUGUGAAAAAUGUGAAAAAACUUCACGAGGCGAAAACUCAAACUUUGGAGGUGAAUUUGCAGGUUCUAAAAUUUUCAAACCCACCAAAAGCUAGGACACACAGAUCCAAAAAAUUUUUCUGAUCGAUUUUGAUAUAUGGAACGUUAAAAUCGGAGUUCGUAUGUGAAAGUUAUGGCUAUUUUACGAACGGACUCCGAAUAAGAGGACAAAACGGUCUGAAAGUGGGAAAAAUUUGCGGUGGUGGCUAGAAAUUGAUGGAAACGGUGGGGAAAAACACACGAACUGGACUCUAACUAGACCUAACCAGCAACAGGACCUCAACAAGAACACAAACUCAACACUGCGGACUCUGAAACUGAAAUAUGCAAAGGCUUUGGCGCGAAAGGGUUGUAGGACACGAAAAUGAUAUAGCACUGGACUUAUGGUACAAACACAAGAACACUCGAAACUAAGGGUGGAUGUGAACCUAACGGUAUACCUAAAACUUUGAUUACCACUUGAUGAGAACAAGAGUGACCUGAUCUUCCAACAGGUUCUGGUAACUCUAGAUUUGGUGGAGACGAGAAACAAAUCGAUCCGGCUUCCGAACAACAUCAUAUGAAACCGUGCAAUUUUUUUAUUUUUUUGAUAUUUUUCUUUUAGUUAUGAGCACCAAAGGAGUAACCACAGAAAAUUUGAGCUUAAACAAGUGAAAGACAUGGCCUGUGGAAUUUUUUGAAGAUUGUGAAAAAUGUGAAAAAAACUUCACGAGGUGAAAACUCAAACUUUGGAGGUGAUGUUUGAGGUUCUAAAAUUUUCAAACCCAACAAUGGAGGGGACAGACAGAUCCAAAAAAAAAUUUCGGAUCGAUUUUGAUAUAUGGAACGUUGAAAUCGGAGUUCGUAUGCGAAAGUUAUGGCUAUUUUACGUACGGACUACGAAUUAGAGGACAAAACCGUCCGAAAGUGGGGAAACUUUGCGGUGGUGGCUAGAAAUUGAUGGAAACGGUAGGGGAAAACACACGAACUGGACUGUAAUAAGACCUAACCAGCAACAAGACCUCGACCAGGACAAACUCAACAAUGCGGACUCUGAAACUAAAAUAUGCAGAGGCUAUGGCGUGGAAGGGUUGUAGGACACGAAAACGAUAUGGUACUGGACUUAUGGGACGAACACAGGAACACUCGAAACUAAGGGUAGAUGUGAACCUAAUGGUAUACCUAAAGCUUUGAUUACCACUUGAUGAGAAAAAGGGUGGCCCGAUCUUCCGAAAGGUUCUGGUAACUCUCGAUUUGGUGGAGACGAGACACAAAUCGAUCCGGCUUCCGAACAACACGAUCUGAAACCCUACAGUUGUUUUUUAUUUUUUUGAUAUUUUUCUUUUAGUUAGGAGCACCGAAAGAGUAACCACAUAAAAUUUGAGUUCAGACAAGUGAAAGACACGGCCUGCGGAAUUUUCUGAAGAUUGUGAAAAAUGUGAAAAAAACAUCACGAGGUGAAAACGCAAACUUCGGAGGUGAAUUUGGAGGUCCUAAAAUUUUCAAACCUGCCAAAGGCAGGGACAUACAGAUCUGAAUUUUUUUCUGAUCGAUUUUGAUAUAUGGAACGUUGAAAUCGGAGUUCGUAUGGGAAAGUUAUGGCUAUUUUACGAACGGACUCCGAAUUAGAGGACAAAACGGUCCAAAAGUGGGAAAACUUUGCGGUGGUGGCUAGAAAUUGAUGGAAACGGUGGGGAAAAACACACGAACUAGACUCUAACAAGACCUAACCAGCAACAAGACCUCAACCAAGACACAAACUCAACACUGCGGACUCUGAAACUGAAAUAUGCAAAGGCUAUGGCGCGGAAGGGUUGUAGGACAUGAAAACGAUAUGGCCCUGGACGUUUGGGACGAACACAAGAACACUCGAAACUAAGGGUAGAUGUGAACCUAACGGUAUACCUAAAGCUUUGAUUACCACUUGAUGAGAACAAGGGUGACCUCAUCUUCCAAAAGGUUUGUAACUCUCGAUUUGGUGCAGACGAGACACAAAUCGAUCCGGAUUCCGAACAACACGAUACAAAACCCUACAAUUUUUUUAUUUUUUCGAUAUUCUUCUUUUAGUUAGGAGUAACCACAGAAAAUUUGAGCUUAAACAAGUUAAAGACAUGGCCUGCGGAAUUUUCUGAAGAUUGUGAAAAAUGUGAAAAAAACUUCACGAGGUGAAAACUCAAAGUUCGGAGGAGAAUUUUGAGGUUCUAAAAUUUUCAAACCCCCCUACAACGGGGACAUGCAGAUCCAAAAUUUUUUUCUGAUCGAUUUUGAUAUAUGGAACAUUGAAAUCGGAGUUCGUAUGCGAAAGUUAUGGCUAUUUUACAAACGAACUCUGAAUUAUAGGACAAAACGGUCCGAAAGUGGAAAAAAUUUGCGGCGGUGGCUAGAAAUUGAUGGAAACAAAGGGGAAAAAGACACAAACUGGACUCUAACAAGACCUAUCCAGCAACAAGACCUCAACCAGGACAAACUCAACACUGCAGACUCUAAAACUGAAAUAUGCAGAGGCUAUGGCGCGGAAGGGUUGUAGGACUGGAAAACGAUAUGUUAUUGGACUUAUGGGACGAACACAGGAACACUCGAAACAAAGGGUAGAUGUGAACCUAAUGGUAUACCUAAUGCUUUGAUUACCACUUGAUGAGAACAAAGGUGGCCUGAUCUUCCGAAAGGUUCUGGUAACUCUCGAUUUGGUGGAGACGAGACACAAAUCGAUCCGGAUUCCGAAAAACACGAUCCGAAACCUUGCAAUUGUUUUUUAUUUUUUUGAUAUUUUUAUUUUAGUUAGGAGCACGAAAAGAGUAACCACAUAAAAUUUGAGUUUAAACAAGUGAAAAACAUGGCCUGUGGAAUUAUCUGAAGAUUGUGAAAAAUGUGAAAAAACUUCACGAGGUGAAAACUCAAACUUUGGAGGUGAAUUUGCAGGUUCUAAAAUUUUCAAACCCACCAAAAGCUAGGACACACAGAUCCAAAAAUUUUUUCUGAUCGAUUUUGAUAUAUGGAACGUUGAAAUAGGAGUUCGUAUGGGAAAGUUAUGGCUAUUUUACGAACGGACUCCGAAUUAGAGGACAAAACGGUCCAAAAGUGGGAAAAAAUUGCGGUGGUGGCUAGAAAUUGAUGGAAACGGUGGGGAAAAACACACGAACUAGACUCUAACUAGACCUAACCAGCAACAGGACCUCAACAAGAACACAAACUCAACACUGCGGACUCUGAAACUGAAAUAUGCAAAGGCUUUGGCGUGAAAGGGUUGUAGGACACGAAAAUGAUAUAGCACUGGACUUAUGGUACAAACACAAGAACACUCGAAACUAAGGGUGGAUGUGAACCUAACGGUAUACCUAAAACUUUGAUUACCACUUGAUGAGAACAAGAGUGACCUGAUCUUUCAAAAGGUUCUGGUAACUCUAGAUUUGGUGGAGACGAGAAACAAAUCGAUCCGGCUUCCGAACAACAUCAUAUGAAACCGUGCAAUUUUUUUAUUUUUUUGAUAUUUUUGUUUUAGUUAUGAGCACCAAAGGAGUAACCACAGAAAAUUUGAGCUUAAACAAGUGAAAGACAUGGCCUGUGGAAUUUUUUGAAGAUUGUGAAAAAUGUGAAAAAAACUUCACGAGGUGAAAACUCAAACUUUGGAGGUGAUGUUUGAGGUUCUAAAAUUUUCAAACCCAACAAUGGAGGGGACAGACAGAUCCAAAAAAAAAUUUUGGAUCGAUUUUGAUAUAUGGAACGUUGAAAUCGGAGUUCGUAUGCGAAAGUUAUGGCUAUUUUACGUACGGACUACGAAUUAGAGGACAAAACCGUCCGAAAGUGGGGAAAAUUUGCGGUGGUGGCUAGAAAUUGAUGGAAACGGUAGGGGAAAACACACGAACUGGACUGUAAUAAGACCUAACCAGCAACAAGACCUCGACCAGGACAAACUCAACAAUGCGGACUCUGAAACUAAAAUAUGCAGAGGCUAUGGCGUGGAAGGGUUGUAGGACAGGAAAACGAUAUGGUACUGGACUUAUGGGACGAACACAGGAACACUCGAAACUAAGGGUAGAUGUGAACCUAAUGGUAUACCUAAAGCUUUGAUUACCACUUGAUGAGAAAAAGGGUGGCCCGAUCUUCCGAAAGGUUCUGGUAACUCUCGAUUUGGUGGAGACGAGACACAAAUCGAUCCGGCUUCCGAACAACACGAUCUGAAACCCUACAGUUGUUUUUUAUUUUUUUGAUAUUUUUCUUUUAGUUAGGAGCACCGAAAGAGUAACCACAUAAAAUUUGAGUUCAGACAAGUGAAAGACACGGCCUGCGGAAUUUUCUGAAGAUUGUGAAAAAUGUGAAAAAAACAUCACGAGGUGAAAACGCAAACUUCGGAGGUGAAUUUGGAGGUCCUAAAAUUUUCAAACCUGCCAAAGGCAGGGACAUACAGAUCUGAAUUUUUUUCUGAUCGAUUUUGAUAUAUGGAACGUUG
rnacentral:lncRNA from 1 species